GAAUGAUUUGGAGUUUACGUCGUUCAUCACAGAGCCUCUCCUUUAUCUGCAUCAAGUCUUGAGCAAAUCCCACCAUAUUAGUCUGGCCACUAGGAGCAGGUCUUGAUGGAAAAAAAUUCCUUGGCUGAAGUAUUUGUUCGCCCCUCACAUCCUCGAUCUCCUUCACCUCUUCUACAAUCGUAUCGAUUUCUGCAAUUAUUUUCUGCAAGUCUAGACGAUACUUUUUAGCAGAUAGCUUAUUUGAAGAAAAAUAAAAUAGUUUUUGAGGUUUUGGAAGAAGAUGAUCCGAUAUACGGAACUCAAGGACAUCUUCUGCACGAUAAGCCGCGUCUCUGAUUUUUCUUUCCAGUGAUUUCACUUCUUCCCUGCUACUUUGGAAAGAUUCUUCAAGAAAAUUCAGUAGUGAACUGAGCUUUUCGAAGAGAGGUACAAGCAGUUGAUUUUGAUAAGGAUCCGAAACUCCAUCUCCAUGGCGGAUCUGCUCAACAGUGUGCAAAAGAGAGACGACAGCAGCAUGAGCCAUGAAAUGAUUUGGGGUAUUUUCACGUGAAAUGAAUAAGCAUUGAGUUGCUGUUAAUUGAAUUGGUAUUUUCUCUGUAAGUGUCACUUUGAUAUUUCAAUAUCUCCUUUUUUUUCUCUCACAUGAAAUUUCUAUGUGCUUUCUGAUCUCUUUGUUCAGCAUUAUUUUGGGCGAAUAUAUAUAUUUAUUUUAAUUGUCUAAUAGUGUGUAGUCAAUUAUUAAGUGACACAAUGAUGUAAAAGAUAAUGUUUAUGUGGCGUGAUUGAACUUUUCUCACGCCAAGAUAACUUUCCCAAAUUCCAAGAUGAUAAGCAUCAAGUUUUUAUACAUUCCAAUAAUGUUAUUUAUUUUGUUUUUUUUAAGAAAUACUUAUUAUCUUGUCUUAAUCUUUUAUUUCACAUAUUCUUUUAAAUGUUUAUUGAUCAAUCAAUUUUAAUAUGGUUUGAAUAAUUUGAGAAGUAAGAAUAUUAAAUAUUUAAAUUAUUAAAUGCAGUCGUAAACUUCAUAAUCGCUAUAAUUAUUCUUUUAUUUUAAGCAGAAAUUGGAAGCUAUGCUCUUUGAAAGAAAGGGAAAAAAAAAAGUUUUGCGUUUCAUACAAACUUUAUGUUAUAUAAUUUAGUGUAUCUAAAAUUAGUACAAUAAACGUGAAAUCAAAACUAUGCGAGGAAAAUAGGUGAUAUGAAUGGUUUUAUCUUUUUACUUGUGUGUACAUUUUUUAUGAAUACCCUUCUUGGCCCCCUUUCUUUCAAUUUUUAGUAUUUGUUUGAUUUUCAUUCUUCUAAAAAUUCUUUUUUUUUUUUUCAAAAUUUAUCUUCAACCACACAUUUUUCAAGAAAAUAAUAUUACAGGUAAAUUCAAAAUAUUUUUUAAUUUUUAACCACACGUUCUUUAUUAAUUUACUAUUUAAAAUGUAUUAUUUUCUACAAAAUGGGAUCAAACAAGGGCUUAAUGUAUGUAAUGGUAUUUUUUUGGGAGAAUGUGUAAUAGGUAAAAAAAUUUCAAUCUAUGUAUAAUAUUAAUUUAUUGAAAAUUGUGUGGUUUAAAAUAAGAGUGAAAAGAAAAAAAAUAAAAAUGAGGCUAAACAGUAUUCCCCCAACCCCAAUUAAAAACCAUUAAAUUUUCAACUUUUUCAAACAGUGCCGACCCCACGUCUCAAUGAUAGCUGUCAGAACAAUAAUUAUUUGUUCACAUCGGUGGUUUGACUACUAAGUUGAUUAAUGCAGAAAAUGACAUGUGUGUCCCUAGUUUUGCCAUCUGGCUGAGUGAUGGCAGGGGUAAGAAUGGCAUUGCAAGAGUAAAAAUGGAGGAUAUAUUUGUCAAUGGGUUCCAAGGUUUAGUGGAUUUUUUGGGAUUCUCUGACAUUUGAAAUGAUAUGAACAGACGUUAAUACAGCUGUAUCCACCUAGUUGGGUUGAAUGAGCUAAAAUGUGGAAUAACGAGAAACUUAAUGGGGCCAAACGGAGGCUGAAUAAGUAAUUCACAAUUUAAAGCGAAGCAUCCAAGAUAAAAUUUGUAAUGUUUCGGGACAUUUGUCUUGAAAAUUACUCAAACAACUCCUUUCCAUGUAAGAGACGGUGAUUGACUCAUAGUGGAUUACAAAAUUUAAAGAAUUAUGUCGAAUAAAAUAAGUUAUUUUAUUGUAUUAUAAAAUAUCAAUCCAUUGCUAAAAUAUAAAUCAUGUACUUAUUUUUCAACAUCGAUUUUGAAACUAAAAUUCUGCUUACAAAGUAUAUUUCUAAUUAAAUAUUAAAUAUUGAAAUAAAAAUUAAAAUUUUUUAUCCAACGUCACGGACACUAUCAGUGGUAUCAACCUCGAACUCCAAUCAAUCAAGCAUUUGUACAAAUGAUUUAGUAUAUGCAAUGAGCAUAUAAAAACACUCGGUACAAAUUUCAUGUCAAUAUUUUCAUAAUUUAAUACAAAAGCAGGUAAAUUAAGCACAUAACAUAAUUUUCUAAUAUAAUAGAAAUCGGACCGUCUCAUUCUUAAUUAGGUCAUACCCAUUCUCAAUUUUCACUUAGAGUCUCUAGCCUUAUAGUUGAUUUCUAUAUAGAUCUAUAUAAUACCCUAUGGUAUUACACACAAGAUCUUUAUUUAAUUUGAAUCACAGAAUAACAAAUAAAAUAAUUAACUUAAAACAUAUAAAAGUGAAAACACCAAACCGUUUGGCACAUAUAGAAAUCCAUAUCUUGUUUGUUAAAUUGCAUAUAUACUUGAGCUACUCAGAACUGAAAAUUCUUGCAAAUGAAUCUCAUACGCGCUAAAAACUUAGAAUUCUAAUAUGGCUCUUAUUUAAAAUUUAAAUUUGACUUUCAACAAAAAUACUUAUCAUGAAAUUCGAAUUUUUAAGAAAAUUCUAACUACAUGAGGAUAAGAUUCGAGUGUAGAUAUAUGUAAAUUUCAAGUUCUAUUUAAAAACUUUUAUAUCAUAUAAUUUCGAUAAUAAUUUAAUAGAUAUCCAAAAUAAUAUUAAAAUUUAGUUUCAUGUAAAAUUUGUAUUUUCAAUUAUUAGGAAUAUUAGCACAAGGUACCUCGAAAAUCGUAAAGUUGUUAAGUUACUCUAAAAUCUCAAAACUUAUAUUUAUAUUUCAUAAUAUAUUGUAUGUAUUUUUGAGGUAUUACUUCUUCCCCUCCUUAAAAAAUUUGUCCUUGAAAUUUACUUGGUUAUUGAAAAGUUAUGGAUAUUUAGCUUUAAUAUCUGCCUCGCAUUUUCAAGUGAAAUCUUCAAUCCCGUGAUUUCGCCACUGAACCUUUACCAAUGGAAUUUCUCUAUUCUAAAGUAUUCAAAUCUUCCUAUCCAAGGAGAUUAUUGGAACUUCCUCGUAAGUUAGACGUGGAUUAAUGUCUAACCUGAUGAUUAAUUACAUGGUCAUGAUCUGAUACGAAUUUUCAAAGUAUAGGGUCAUAGAAGACAUUGUGUACCGCCGAAAGUUCAGGGAGGCAACGACAACUUAUAAACCACGAUUUUCACACGUUUCAAAAUCUCAAAAGGUCCUAUAAAUUUUGGUCGUAGCUUUCCUUUUGCCAAAUCAAAUGUCUCCUUUCAUAUGAACUAUUUUAGGAAAAUUUUGUCACCAAUCUCGAACUCAAGAUCCUUUAUCCUGUUAUCUGCAUAACUUUUUUCGAUCUUAGACAAUCUUUAUUUUGGCCUCAAUCUUCUUAAUAGUUUGGACUGUUUCCUCAAUAAUCUCAAACCUAAAAUCCUUCUCUCACUAACUUCAUUCCAAUGAGCUAGAGAUCUAUACCAUUUACCAUAUAAAACCUCAUAAAGGGCUAUUCCUGUAGUAGUUUGAUAGCUAUUAUUAUGGUAAAUUCUAUCAAUGGUAGAUGUCCUUCCCAGCUUCCUCCGAGAUCUAGGAUACAUGCUCAAAGCAUGUCCUCAAUAAUUUGAAUAAUUCCCUUCAACUAACCAUCUGAUUGCAGGUAAAAAGCUAUACUGAAGAUUAGCUUAGUCUCCAUUGCCUUGUACAUACUUUUCCAUAAUUUUGAAGCAAUCUCAAAUCUCUAUCUAAUACAAUAGAGACUAGGGUUUUAUGUAAUCUGAUCACUUCUCUAAAAUAUAUUUGAGCUAACUGAUCCAUAUUAAAAGUUAUUUUUACUGGUAAGAAGUGAGCUGACUUUGUCAAUCCAUCAAUAAUAACCUAGAUUGCAUCAUUUCCUCUAUUUGAUUUUGAAAAACCAACUACAAAAUCUAUGUGAUAUGCUCCUAUUUCCAUUCAAGAAUUUCAAGUUGAUUUAAUAAUCCUAAUAGUCUCUAAUGUUCUGCUUUCACUAACUGAAAACCAUGUACUUACUACUUAUUUACAAAUAGACAUAUUUCUCUUUUCAUAUUCCACCAUUAAAAUAUGCUUUGAAGGUCUUUAUACAUUUUCAUACCUCCAAGAUUUGCUUCGUAUGGGGCAAAAUGAGUUUCUUCCAAUAUUUCUUUUUGUAUCUUCUCAUCAUUUGGUAUAUAUAAUCUUUCUUUAAACAUCAAAGUGUUAUCUCUAGCUAACUCAAAAUCCUUUUGUUUGCCCCUACCAACUCACAUUUAAUCUUUUACAGAAAUGGAUCACUAUCCUGGCUUUCUUAAUUCGAUCUUGAAUAUUAGAUUAAACUGUGAAGCAACAAUUCAUGCUGCAACAUUUGUUGAAGGUGAGAUCACCUCAAGUUGCAAGUGAUCUAUUGCAGGUGAUCUAUAUCUUUCAUCAAUGAUUUUUGUAUAGUAGGUAAAGUUGCCAAAUAUCCUACUGUCUUCUUACUUAAUUUGUCAGCAACUACUUUAACUUUUCUAGGAUGAUAAUGAAUGGCACAAUCAUAAUCACAUCAUCGCCAUCAGAAAAAUCCUCAACAAUAUUGGUCUAGUCUGAAUUCAAUGAUUGACCCCCAUGAUUUGCAGCUAAAUUACCUUUAGCCUGUAACAAAUUUCAAUCUUUCCUAACAUGUCCUUUCCUUCUACAGUAGAAGCAAUACACAUUGCAAAAGUUCACUUUCGAUCUACCCCUCCGUCGAUCACCAUGAGAUACCAGAGCAUCCUCAUCCCUAGAUGUAACUCCAACCAAAUGCUUCAUCUUCUCUUUUGAGAAUAAAGCAUAGUAAGCGUCUUCAAUGAUAAGUGUGUCACAACUGUACAAAAUCGUGUCCUGAAAUGAUGAAUAAGAAGCAGACAACGAAUACAACAUGAUCAAAGCCAGAUCCUCCUCAUCAUACUUAACCUCCCAUGCCCCGCCAUGCGAUGGGAAUAUAGCAUUUGCUUUAGAUACAAUUUGCUCGUAAGAUUUUUAGUCAUGCACAACUGCUCUAGUUCUAACCACAAAGUAGCUCCAUUUUAUCCUUGAAUACGUUCUGCAAGAUGAAUCUGCGAUAGAGCCUUUCUGUCCUUCUGUUGCUUCUCCUCCAUUGUCCAAUUUGCUGGCAUCUUAUCAAAACCCAUCAAAGUAUCGUCUAAAUUCAUUUACAUCAACACAGCCCUCAUUUUUACUUGUUACGGCAAAAAUCUUAUAUUAUGAUUCAAUAGCAGAAUGUCAUAUUUCAAUGUAGUCAUCUCUGAAAAAAUCCCAACCAAAUCACAAAGAACCUGUAGCCUAACUCUGAUACAACUUGUUGGGAACAAGCAAGUUAUCAGAAUUGUUCUGAUACCAAUUGUUGAUCCCAAAGGUGUUGCAAGAAUUGAAAUUAACGACCCAAUAAGAAAUAUGUAUCAACACAAUUAUAGAAAGAAGAUUAAAGUAAAAAAAACAAGAGAUAAGCUGAAGAACUGAUAUUUUAUGGAGAGAAAUUACAACUUAGCAAUAUUUGCUUCACAAAUAUAGAAAAAGAGUCUAAUAUUUAUAAAGAACAAUCCAAUCUAUAAAAGUAGAGAUGUACAUGAAAUAAAAUGUCAAAAGUUCCCUUAUUUUGAUAUAUGCAAGUUCGACACAAAUUUCAACUCCUAAUUGGGUUUCCAAAUAAAAUUUUAACUAGAAUUUGAUAAUUAAACUUGAAUAGGAUUCCACAAUAGUAUUCCAAUUAGAAUUCCUCUUGAUAUACAUCUCAAUUAGAACUCUACAAUUAUUUCAACAAGAAAUUCGGAUCACACCCAAAUUCUAACAAAAUCCCUAUUUGGUCUCCAUUUUAAUAUAUUUUUCUCCCUUCUCCUUUUAAUCACAUAUUUUCAAUAAAAUAAUUGGCGUGCUGUCGCAGGCACUCCAAAAAUAAUAAAAUCUAUACUUCCAAAAAAUGUAUGUCACCAAAAGUGAUUAGUCUAAUUUUAUGCAAUGUUAACAAUAACGGAGGGUUUUUGUUUAUGACGAAAUCAAUUCUAACUAAAAACAAUGCAAUUUAACAAAUUAGAUUAAAUUAAUAGAACGAACCUUGGUUUAAGUCAAUAUCCACCGUAGGAAUCCCGUACUGAUCAUAAAUUUAAAACUAAUUACCAAUUCAUAUUUUUAGCAUUCAUGGUUGGAAUUUAUAUUUCAUAUUUCUCCUUAGUUGUAAUUAACCAGAAAACAAGUGAUCCAAUCAAUCCUUAUUAUUAAAUAACCUAAGAAAAUCACUUAAGAUUUAAUUUAAUAAUAGCAUGGAAAAUUAGAGAAAUCGAUGAAACUAAACAACACAUCACAAGCGGUUAUAUUUAAUCUAGUCAAAUAUCAUUCCUAGAACAUAAUAAUCUCUAAAGCAGCGAUUAAUCAAACUCUAGUUGAUUCAUAAUGUCAAAGAUAUCAAACAAUUACGUAUUUGUUCUUUAAACAAGCAGCCAAUCGAAAUACAUGACCAUCUAAUAAGCCUCUCAGAAUUCAAAUACAACAACCAUGAAAUCAUGCAUAGAAGAAUACUCAAUACAUAAAAUAUGAAUGUAAACAAUGAAAUUUAUUUAGAUCUCACAGUUUGAAUAAUUUCUAGACUUUAAUAUCCUUCGACCAAGAGAUGAAGUUGCAAUACAUCAAUAAUCCUUAAGCAAAAAGAAAGAAAAAUCUACGGUGUCCAUUCUUCGCCUCCAAAAAAUACGUAGAAUAUAAAGAGAAGGAUAAAGAUAUUUAUAACAUGAAUGCAAAAAUGAAAAUAAAAGCAACAAGAUAAAGGAACGAACUUCCCUUGGGUUGUCUCCCAAACAGCGCUUUUCUUUAUUGUCUUUGACUAGACUUAUUACGUUCCUCUUCAAUCGGCAUAAAUUGGAUCUUCAAGACCUAAUGUUGUCACUUCCUCUACUUGGAUACCUUCAUACAAAUGUUUAAGCUUAUGGCCGUUCACCUUGAACAUUUUAGAAGUUGCCAAACUUUGUAUUUCAACUGCAGUGCACCAUGAGGGAAGACAUUAGUAACAACAAAGGGUCCAAUCCAACGGGAACGUAGUUUAUCUAGAAACAAACGAAGUCUUGAAUGGUAUAGAAUGACUUUUUGACCAAUUUUAAAUUCCUUCCUGGAGAUCAUUUUGUCGUGGAAAGCUUUCAUCUUUUCCUUGUAAAUUCUUGAACUCUCAUAGGCAUCAUUACGAAUUUCUUCUAAUUCUUGAAGUUGCAACUUUCAGUGCUCUCCACUAUCAUCCAUCUUCAUGUUGAAACUUUUGAUAGCCCAAAAAGCCUUGUGUUCUAAUUCGACUGGAAGAUGGCAUGGUUUUUCAAAUACUAAUCGAUAAGGUGACAUUUCAAUAGGUGUCUUGUAUGCAGUCCUGUAUGCCCAUAAAGCAUCAUCUUUGCACAGACUCCAUUCUUUUCUACUUGGACAGACUAUUUUCUCAAUGAUGGAUUUGAUUUCCCAAUUUCACUCCUCCGCUUGUCCACUAGUUUGUAAAUGAUAGGCAGUGGAUUCCUUGUGGGUUACAUGGUAUUUUCGCAGCAAGGCUUCCACAGUUUGAAUGUAGAAAUGAGAGCCCUUGGGGUUCCAAACUUGGAUAAUAUGUUGGACUUGAUAAAAUCUGCAACUACUUUGGAAUCAUUAGUCCUGGUGGCCUUUGCUUCCACCCAUUUCGAAACAUAGUCAAUAGCAAGUAAAAUAUAAGUAUAACCAAAAGAUAUAGGAAAUGGUCCAAUGAAAUCGAUGCCCCAAACAUCAAAAAUUUCACAAACGAGUAUGGGUGUAUGUGGCAUUUCAUUCCUUUGGGAUAAAUUACCUGUCUUUUGACAUUGUUCCCAGGUCUUGCAGAAUGAAUAAACAUCUCGAAAUAAAGAUGGCCAAUAAAAUCCACAUUCUAAUAUCUUUCUUGCUGUCCUUUUUGAACCAAAAUGACCCCCACAUGCAUAGGAAUGACAAAAAGUGAGAAUGGACAUAAUUUCAUUUUCAGGGAUGCACCUUGUUAUCACUUGAUUUGGACAAUGCUUUCAUAAGUAUGGGUUAUUCCACACAUAGUACAUAGCAUCACUUUUGACUUUGUCCCAUUGAGCCCUAGAUAAUUCAGGAGAAAAUUCAUUAGUAACUAAAUAAUUUACCAUAUUUGCGUGCCAAGGUAGUGUUGCAUGGGUAGCGAGCAAUUGCUCAUCGAGGAAUGAUUCCUGCAACUGAAGUUCAUCAUCCACAUGAGCUAAACGGCUCAAAUGAUCUGCGACACUAUUUUCUGUUCCUUUUUUGUCUUUGAUCUCCAAGUUGAAUUCACUUAAGAGAAGUAUCAAUCGUAUUAGCCUUGGUUUUGCUUCCUUCGUCAUCAAAUAGCGAGGUGCAGCAUGAUCAGAAUAAAUAAUUACUUUAGUACCAAGCAAAUAAGGGUGAAAUUUCUCUAAAGCAAAAAUAAUAGCUAAGAGUUCUUUUUCAGUUGUGGAGUAGUUUCGCUGAGCACCAUUUAAAGUCUUGAAAGUGUAGUAGAUGGCAUGGGAUACUUUCCCAAUUCUUUGACCCAAAACAGCACAUACUGCAAAGUUGCUUGCGUCCCACAUUAUCUCAAAUGGAAAGUUCGAGUCAGGAGGUUGGAUAAUUGGGGCGGAGGUUAACAAUUCCUUAAGCGUGUCAAAGGCCUUUUUACAUGCAUCAUCAAACUCGAAUGUCACAUCUUUUUGUAGCAAUUCGCAUAAGGGUAAUGCUAUUUUGGAGAAUUUCUUGAUGAAUUUACGGUAAAAACCUGCAUGUCCAAGAAAGGAAUAAAUCUCCCGUAUACUAGCGGGGUAAGGUAAAGACUGAAUAAUAUCAAUUUUUACUUUAUCUACCUCAAUUCUCCGAGGUGAAACAACAUGACCUAUAACUAUGCCUUGUUCAAUCAUAAAAUGACAUUUUUCACAAUUUAAAACAAGGUUAAUUUCCAUGCAUCUUUUAAGGACAAGUGUAAGGUUAUGCAAACAAUUAUCAAAUGAGUUCCUAUGAACAGUAAAAUCAUUCAUAAAGACCUCUAUGAUAUGCUCAAUGUAAUAUGAAAAUAUACUAACCAUACACAGCCGAAAAGGAGCAUUGCAAAGGCCAAAAGGACAUACGACGAUAUGCAAAGGUUCUAAAUGGACAUGUAAAAAUUGUCUUUUCUUAAUUUUCUGGAGCAAUUGCAAUCGGAAAAUAACCUGAAUAGCCAUCAAGAAAACAAUAAUAAGGAUGACCAACCAAUCUUUCAAGCGUUUGAUCAUAAAGGGUUAGGAAAAGUGGUUUUUGCAGGAUACAAUAUUCAAUUUCCUAUAAUCUGUACAAACCCGCCACCCAUUUUGAACACGGGUGGUCACCAACUCAUCAUUUUGAUUUUUUACAAUAGUUAUCCCAAUCUUGUUAGGAAUAACUUGAACUGGACUGACCCAGCUGCUAUCGAAAAUAGGGUAAAUUACUCCAACUUCGAGAAGCUUGAGAAUCUCCUUUUUCACUACGGGUUCAAUCUCCUUUGUGGCUGACGGGAAGGUUUCACUUCUUCUUCAAGUAAAACGCGAUGCAUGCAUGUAGAUGGGCUAAUUCCUUUGAUGUCUGUAAUUAUCCAACCAAUAGCUGUCUAAUGCUUCUUGAGAACUUGCACAAGUUUUUCCUCUUGCAAUGCAUUGAGUUCGUUUGGGAUGAAUAUUGGCAAUGUAUCUUCAUCCCCAAAGAAUACAUACUUGAGGUGUUUGGGAAGAGGUUUCAAAUCCGGAGUGGAAGCCUGCAAAACAGAAGGUAAAUGCUUCUCAUCAGAAAUGGGUAGCGCAACACAUGACACUUUACCUGCAUGUGGCAAAUUUGGAAGUUCAUUUAAUGCUGCAACAGUUUCUUACAACUCAGUUUUCAAAGCUAACUCCCAAUCCUCUUUCCCAAUAUAUUUACUAAUAGCCACUUCCAAUUCAUCAUUUCCAUCAAAUUCAAAAAUUUCUUGAGCUAAGCAAUCAAUCAUAUCAAUAGCAUAGACAUGGUUAUCAUCAAUGGGAAAUUUCAUGGCAUCAUAAAUGUUAAAUUUGAUUAUUUCACCAUCAAUUUCCAUAGUAAGUGAUCCACUAUGUACAUCUAUUUUAGUUUUGAAGGUCUUUAAAAAUGGUAUUCCAUCCUUCCUAGAUUCUGCUAAUAUUUGAGAGAAAGAGGGUAUCGAUUUAUAAUCAGGGAGAGGGGUCAACUUACUCUUAGGUUUACCAUCAUCGUUGGGGACAUUCUUCUCUGUAGUGACUUCUUUCUCCUUUUCUAGCUCUGAUGAUGUAGGAACUGCUUUUAUUGGAAUUUCAACCUCUUUGCCACUCCUCAACAAAAUUGCGCUUGCAUUUUUCCUUGGAUUUACUAUCUUUUGAGAGGGUAGUUCUCUCGAGCUUUAUGAUUCCAAUUGAUUAAUCGCUAUUGCCAUUUGACCCAUUUGAUUCUCCAAGCUUUGAAUACUCACCUUUGCCUCCUAUUGGAAUUAUUUUGCUUCCUGUUGAAAUUGUAAAGUGUUAGUAGCCAGAGAUUUAAUAAUAUCCUCUAGAGACAUACCAGAGUUAGAAGAUUGGCCCUGUUGUUGUCUAGGAGGGUUUGGCUGCUUGAAUUGUUGAAAGCUUUGACAAUUUUGGGUCAUGGGCUGGUUUGAUUGUGGAUUUUCAUAGCUAAGAUUGGGGUGGUCCCUCCAUCCUUGGUUGUAUGUCUUCGAAAAUGGAUCAUAGUUUCUUUGGGGUUGUCCUGGAAAGCCACCGUCUGCAUUAACUUGUUCACUGGGGUUUUCUUGGAGAGUUGGGCACAUGUCAGUAGGAUGUCCUGCUACUGAACAUAUUUCACAUGCCUUUGGUGUUUCCAUAAUACCUGUCGCCAUUUGUCAAACAAGAGUAGUUAGACUCGAAAUCUAUUAUUCAAGGGAUGAUAUAUUUACCUCAUUGACACUUUUAGAAGGAGUGUCGAGUCUAGUGCCGAACUAUUAAGGAUUGGCUGCCAUGUUCGCAAUUAAGUUUCUCGCGCCCUUAGGAGUUUUAUCCACCAAUGUUCCUCCACUUGCAGCAUCAACCAUACUUCAUUCUGUGGGUAGAAGGCCUUCAUAGAAAUAUUAGAUGAGAAGCUGUUAACUGAUUUGAUGAUGGGGGCAACCUGCACACAGUUUCUUGAAGCGUUCCCAAUAUUCGUGUACAGAUUCUCUGUUAUUCUGUCUCACUCCACAAAUUUCUUUUCUAAUAUUUGCUACCCUUGAAGCUAGAAAGUAUUUUUCUAGAAAUAGCCUCUUCAUUUCAUUCCACGUGGUGAUAUUUCCAGAAGGUAGAUAAUAGAGCUAAUCCUUCGCCGAAUCUUUUAAUGAAAAUGGGAAAGCCCUCAAUUUAAUUUGCUCCCCAGUAACUCAUGUAGUUUUCAUGCUUGUACAGACCACAUGAAACUCCUUUAGAUGUUUGUGGGAUCUUCACCUGCAAGGCCAUGAAAAGUGGGCAAGAUAUGAAUUAGUCUAGAUUUAAGUUUGAAAGUAGUGCCAGCAUCUAAAGUAGGAAAAGUAAUGUAUAAAGCUUUAUUAAUCAAAUCUGGGGCUGCAAGCCCCUUCCAGGUCCUAUUUCCAUCCAUGACGUCUUCUUUUUCUAAAUCAAAUUCACUUGCAAAUAUGAUGUUUGGGUUAAGGUCAUUUUCUUCAAGAUUUCGCCGAGUGUCACUCCGUAACCUACACAAAGUUCUCUCAAUUUUCGGAUCGUACUGCAAAUUAGUUUGAUUAGAAGAUCUAGUUAUGGUCAUAAACAAUCAAAGAAACUAAAAAUUAGGAAGUAAACAAAAAAAUUAUACCGUUUUUUUUAGAAUGAAAUGAACAAAGAAAAACACAAAAAUAAACUAAUUCACUCUCUGGCAACAGCGCCAAAAUUUGGCGUGCUAUCGUAGGCACCCAAAAAUAAUAAAACCUACACUUCCAAAAAAUGUAUGCAGUAGUAGAAGUAAAGAUCAUUCCUAGGAAGAGUGAUUAGUCUAAUUUUAUGUAAUGUUAACAAUAACCGUGGGUUUUGUUUGUGAUAAAAUCAAUUCUAGCUAAAAAAAAUGCAAUUUAAUAAAUUGGAUUAAAUCAAUAGAACAAACCUUGGUCUAAGCUAAUAUCAACCAUAGGAGUUCCUAACUGAUCAUAGAUCCAUAACUAAUUACCAAUUCAUAUUUUUAGCAUUCAUCGUUGGAAUUUAUAUUUCUUAUUUCUCCUUAGUUGUAACUAACCGGAAAACAAGCGAUCCAACCAAUCCUCAUUAUUAAAUAACCCAAGAAAAGCACUUAAGAUUUAAUUUAAUAAUAGCAAGGGAAAUUAGAGAAAUCGAUGAAACUUAACAACACAAUCACAAGUGGUUAUGUUCAAUCUAGUUAAAUAUCCUUCCUAGAAUAUAAUAACCUCUAAAGUAACAAUUAAUCAAACUUAGUUGCUUCAUAAUGUCAAAAAUAUCAAACAAUCGCGUAUUUGUUCUUUAAACAAGCAGUUGAUCGAAAUACAUGAACAUCUAAUAGGCCUUUUAGAAUUUAAAUACAACAACCAUAAAAUCAUGCAUAGAAAAAUACUCAAUACAUAAAGUAUGAAUGAAAAUAAUGAAAUUUAUUUAGAUCUCACAGUCUGAAUAAUUCCUAGGCUUCAAUAUCCUUCGACCAAGAGAUGAAGUUUAGUAAUAUAUCAAUAAUCCUUAAGCAAAAAGAGAGAAAAAUCUAUGGUGUCCAUUCUUUGCCUCCAAAAAAUACGUAGAAUAUAAGAUUUUUAGGUCAAAAAGGAGGUUCUCCUCAUUCUAAAGUCUUUAGGUAUAUAUAUGAUAUCAAAAAUAUUGUUUCCAUGUAAAAUUUCAUCAGAAUAAGGAAACUAGCCAUUCACAGAAAUUUGAGCCCAUGCUCAGGCGCCAUAUAUUUAAUAUGCGCACGUCACUUUGUUGUUUUGCUCUCGGUAUGCAAGAAUGAGGUCCUGCUCGCGCCACUUUAAGCCUGUGCGCACGCACAGUAUAAAAUAAUUUCAAUUGUUACACUUUGAUCCCUCAAUUUCAAUCUUCAUUCAUUUUAACUCUUUUUUGAUGUCUUCUUAAUCCCUUAGCUUUCGAUUCCAUCUAAUUGAAUUCACACUUUCUCUAAGAAUCGAUAUUGGGUCCGAAUAAACUAUUAGCACUUUGCAUUUUAGUCCCCAAACUUUGGAUUCAUUUCUUUUUAGCACAUUUUUCGUUUCUUUCUUCCAAAUUCAUCAAUUUGCAUUGAUUUCAACCUCUUUGACUUCUUUCUUCAUCUAAUUGACCUCUAACAAUCUUGAAUCUUCAUUCUGUCACUCGUCUCAUCUAGGUAUUAUUUACAACUUGGUCUCUGAGCUUUUCACUUUCUUCCAUUUAGGUCAUUUUUCUCUCUUUUCUUCCAAAUUCUAUAUUUUCCAUUCAUUUGUAACCUAAAUCAAAAUAUAAGGGUACCCAGAACAUUUAUGUGUUAAUUAAUCACAAAAGCAUAAGGUAAAGGAAUGAAAAAUAUGACAUUUUACAUUCCUAUCAAUAAUAUUACACGUAAAUUCAAAUUUUUUUCCUUUUUAAUUACACAUUCUUUACAAAAUUGUUGCUAUUCCAAAAUGCAUUAUCAUCCCAAAACCCAUUAUAAUGGAUCCCAAAUAAGGACUAGGUCCCUAUUUAGUUUAAUUAAAACUAAAAUGUUUAGUAAAUUUUGAUAAAAAUUAAUGAAAUUUGUAAUUGAAAAAUUAAUAACAAUUGUAAGUUCUAUUACCGGUCAUACAGAAUGGCCACAUGGACCCCCGUAUUUACACGACAAUCACCCAAGCUAUCUAAGAGCUACAACAUCUAAAAUAGUCACGAUUAAAUAUCGAGGUCGUUACAAUACGAUCAGUCGAGGUGGUCCUACCCCUGCUCAUUCCUUAUUGUGAAACUCCCUGAAAUAUCUGAGGCCCUUGGCAGAGUCAGUUGGGACGUCUCUAGAAUUGUUGAUGCGACGUGCCCAUUUAUUAACUGUCAGAGAAGUCAGUCUAGAUUUGUAGGGUGGUUGACUUCUUAUCAAAAGUCCGUCGAUGUAAUUAAUAUGAAGUAGAGUUGACGUGAUAUCAAAGGUCUCGGAUCAAGCCAUGUGGUUCGGAUCUAACGGUGACCACAUCGGCCUGAUCAUUAUAAAUAGACAAUUUUUGUAUAAUUUAAGAGAAUGGAUUUUUGAAUGAAAAGAGAGAACAUAAUAUAUCUCUCCCUUGUCUCUAUCUUCUUCUUCCACAAACAUUCAUAUUUACGGUAGAAAUACUAUAAAACAGGUCCAUGUGUACAUUGUCUUCUAAAGACAACUGUUGGCCAUUUUCGGAGGUCAACAGAUUGACUCCGUCUGUGGGAAACCUUGGAAUAGCUAAACCACGAGAAUCUCGUGAAAAAAACAAAGAAAUCUAAAAGUUUCCCAAGAAAGGAUCAAAAAGCCUUUGAACAAAAAGUGACAUCAAUGAAAAAGAGCAACACAAGGCCUGAUCGAGGUAUUGAAAGAGGCGACUUAAAAUAAACUUUGCUAAAAUCUUUGAGUAAAGGAAAACAACCCCAGAAACAGAGCCAAAGAAAGGUUAUCUGUGGGGAAGGGAUAGCCAUGAGUUCGACAAAGGAGGAAAUUGCACCUAGAUAAACUAAAGAACGCUUUGGUGAGGAAACAUCCUAAUAAAGUGCCCCAGUAAUCCAGGAGCGCUCUCAGCUACUCCCGCAGUUCACUACCGAAAAAGUGGCUCAAGAAACAAGCCUAAGCUAGUAACAAGGCUCACUAGGGAGUUGGUCGGCGUCCCCGCAAACAUGAGAACCAUCUCUCGGCAAAACACUGCAAUGCGAGAACUACUGGAGCACAUGAAAGGUCAAUUGGUCAACUCUUCACAAAAUGAGGAGGUCGUUCCACUAGAAAGAGAGGUGGAUGUGGACAUGGUUAUCGACUACAUCACCGACCCAAUGAUUGCAAAGACAGCCAUUCCAUCGGAAUAUAGCAGGGCUAACGCGCUAAGGAGAUGGGCCAGUGUCUUUGAUAGGCUUGGUCCUACAAGAAAUAGAUAAAACCGACCCCACAUUUUGUCCGUCCAAGCCAAACUCUCUCCUAUCUCCUUGAGCCGGCCAUAUAUGUUCAACCCUUUAUCAGUGGAAAAUUCGCAUGGACAACUUCAACCGAGAACCGUAGCUGAGCUUGCCCAUAUACAUGCAUUCUCCGCAUAGGAAUAGGCGUGAAAGACAAUCUGCACUAGCUCAGAUGUGGGCCAACCAAGAUUGACAACACGAGGGAAAAGGUAUAAGCCCAGAGAGAUGUCCUCUUAAAAACUGGUCACUCUAGGCGAAGUCCUCUUGCAAAAAGAGGCACUAAGACAUAUAACUACCAGGCUGAGCUCCACGAACCCGAAAACCAUGAGUCGACCUUCACAGCAGAUCAGUGAACCAAGGGCACAAGCCCCAUAGAAAAAUUAUUUGAUGUAUUCCCCAUCCCAUCCAAAAGAUGAAGUCCGGGGAUGGAAGUCUUGAGAACUACCUUUAUGAGAAAGGCAAAGGGCCUCACCUAAAAGGAUGAGUGUCAAUUUUGGCUACCUUAGGCUAGCUCUUCUUAUAGAAAGCGGCGCUAAGGCAUAUAUCUGUCGAGGUGGACCCCAUAACAUUACCCAAUAAGAAUUAACCCCUCAAAAGCAGAGGUGAAAAAGUGCAAUCUGCUGUCCUCUCCAAUCAAAGUAGCUUAGACAUAAGCCUCAUAGAAUUAUAUUUUCUAAGAAAGCUUUGACUCAAAAUGUGAAGACCGACCCUCCUUUUGGGAAGCUAAAGACUUCAACCCCAUCCAAAGAGGAGACCAAAAUGGGUCAAAGAGGGCUAUAUAUAGCCUUGAACCAAACAUGUAAAAGAAAUCUGUUCAAAGAAAAGGUAAAGAUGAAACCACCUGGACAGAAUGUCAAAUGUGGAAAAUGAUAAGGGAAGACCCCAUAAGGGACUACUCCCAAAAUAUGUAGAUCCCCUUUAACUAACUGGGAAGGAGGACCAUGCAUGAGUUGUCAACUCAACUUCGCACAAUUGAAAGAUAUGUGAUUACAAGUGUCAAGACAUCAGCCUGAAGGACAGAAUCGAUCUUCUUGCCUUGGAAAGAUAUGCACAUAACAAGCCAAGGAGCUUAGAAAAAUAGGGACCUCAGCUCCCUUCAUAAUGUAUUUGAAGUAGGCAGUUUUGAUACACAACUUCAGCUCUUUCAUCAACAAAAACUUAGUUCACUUCGGGACUGAAGACAAUGUCCGUGAUAAAUGCUUGUAUACUUUUUUAUUAAGUUAUUUUGAUUUUUGAUCCCCAUUAUGUCUAUAUCUAUGUUUGAAUUUGGGAUAUUAUUAUGAUUACUGAUAGCUUUUGUGUGACAUUGUGGCUAGCAUACUUCACAGCACUAGUAAACACGUUGUUUUACACACACUGUUACCUGGCAUAUGACCUGAUGUGGUCUAGUCCAUGCCAUAUAGAAGACUCCGUCGAAGUCCUCAGCAAAAUGCAUAACUUUUUGCAUGACAAUUCCUUCGAAGGAAUAAAAGAAAUUAGCCUAUAGUGGCACUUUAGAAUAUGAGCUCGAAAGAAAUAUGUUGACGAAGGUCAGCCUAAGAAGGACACCUCGGUGAAAUGAGCUGGAACCUGAAGAGGUCCACUUUAGAAGUGAAAAUCAACGCCAAGAAUAGGACAACACCGAGGGUUGGAUCCUAAAAUGACCACCUCCGUGAAAAGGCACAAGUUGCUGGUAAAAAAAAGGGGGAAACUACAUCAAGCGCACGACCCUCCCAAAACACCCUAGCUACAAUUGUAUCAAUUUAAAGCUCAAUUCAAACUUAGAUUUGCAUAAAGAGGUAGAAACUUUAUUCAUUACUGCAAACACAUUUCAAUUGAAGGCAAUCGACCACUUACAAAGCGUUACAAAGCACAUACCGAGAUAAUAAUAAAAAUGAAUAAUAAUGACAAGGCACAAUCACUACAUUAGACGCAUAAUCCGCUGGAACUCCCCCUUUUCGGGACGUCUGCUAUACACAACCACCUUUACGAUUACGAGGUCUGCUGGACCAUGUUGAAACUCAAAGUUAUGGGUACAAUACACUUUGCCUAGUACACUGGCAAAGGAAGUAGCCUAGCUGCUCAGGGAAAGUACGUUGGUACAGCCCCUGGGGAUCCACAUAGUGCCACUCAAGGCAUUUCAGAUGGAAUUCGCACUCUAUUGUCCACAAUUUAGCACUGUUCUCAAAGCAUUCAAAGAAGAUUGUGCUGAGACUGCAUUUGCAUUUUCACGGAUCCAAGCAUCCAAUGCAUUACACCUAAGUAUCAUCCAAUUCAUACACUUCAUGGCAUCGUCCAAAACCAAGCAAUCCCUUGCACCAACCCCCUCAAAAUCCACCAGGUACAAGUAUAAUUUUUGGUCAUAUUGCAGAAGACACGAGACAACAUGAUUUAUACAAGCAAAUGAAUGUUCAAGUAGAAUGAGCCUUUUAUAGGCGAAUGCAUGCAUUUUCAACCGUCAGAUUUCAAAGAUCUGGACCGUCCAAACCUGGGUUACAGAUAUAUCAUUUGAUGAGUUUGACGUUUCAGCGUUACGGCCCAGAUCAAAACACGUGGAACACAUUGAAAAUAUGAGGCACCGCCCUCCUUAGAAUGGCCAAAUGGCAGCAUGGCAAUCUAUGGUAAUAAAUGACGAAAAACGCUCAAAUUACCUAAACCGUCUCACAUAGCAUACCACUUCGGUUGACAUUCUAAUCACCUCGACAACGGUACAAACCACCUCGGAUUUUACAUCCAACAACUUGGGUAUUUAUAACUUCAGCUCUCAAUAUACAUUAAGGCAAGGCUACUUAUAUAUACAGGGCACAUGAGCCUCGGUCUCGAUUCCGAUGGCUAUUGACGAACACAUGUGGCAAGGCUAAAAUUCUCAUACGAAUAUUUAAGUGAUUAGACUCGGGGGACUAACGUUACCGCAUGGAUUUCUUUUCUUCAAAAAAGUCAUAAACUCUAUGUACCACAUGAAUGAUCAUACGUAGACUUGGGAGACUAUUGUUACUAGUCAUACAGAAUGGCCACGUGAGCCCCCUGUAUUUACAUGUGGUAAUCAUUCAAGCUAUCCAAGAGCUACAACACAUGAAGUAGUCACGAUUAAAUGCUGAAGUCGUUACACUAAGAUCAGCUGAUGUGGUCCUACCCUUGCUCAUCCCUUAUUGUCGAACUCCCUGGAGUAUUCGAGGCCUUUAGCAGGUUCAGCUGGGACGUCUCCGAAAUUGUUGAUGCGACGUGCCCAUUUAUUAAGUGUCAGAGAAGUCAGUCUACAUUUGUAGGGUGGCUGACCUUUUGUCAAAAGUCUGUCAAUUUAAUUAAUAUAAAGUAGAGUUGAUAUGACACCAAGGGUCUCGGAUCAAGCCAUGUUGUUCAAAUCUAACGGUGACCACGUCGACCUGAUCAUUAUAAAUAGACAAUUUUUGUAUCAUUUAAGAGGAUAGAUUUUUGAAUGAAAAGAGAAAACAUAAUAUAUCUCUCCCUUGUUUCUAUCUUCUUCUUCCACAAACAUUCAUAUUUAUAGUCGAAAUACUACAAAACAAGUCCACGCAUACAUUGUCUUCUAAUGAUACCUGUUGGCUAUUUUCGAAGGUCAACAAGUUCCAUUAAAUACAUAGUUGAAAAUGAGUUUGAGGAAAAAUGAGUUUUAAAACAUAGGGCCAAACAUGGCUAAAAUUUCUUUCAUUGCAUGAUAGUGUUUGAUUAUCAACUUUAUAAUCAUAUUUUAUCAAAAUAAUGUUACUUGUACGUAAUGAAAUUAAUUAAUAGUUUAUGUAUAAUGAAAUGUCAAAAAGAGAGCAAGCAAUUUUUAAUUUUUUUAAAUUUAGUUGAAAUUUUUUGAUCCAAUUAUAUUUUACUACAUCAUGUAUAUGUAAAUUAUUAUUUACAUAUGGCACAAUGGUUUUAUCAAAUUGUCGCAAAAGUUAUUUGAAUGAAAUGUUUAUGAACCAUCCCCAAUGUCGGAGCAUGAAACCACCACAAUUUAAAGCCCUCCUUUCUCCCAAACCCAUCAUCCCCCUCUCUCUCAUUGUCAAAGUUUACCAUGGAUGAGAGCAUAGCCCCAAUAGUGUCAAACGUAGAAUCUCAAGCACCCAUUUCAUUGUCUUUCCUUAAUGAUCUUAAAAUGCUGCUAGACUACACUCUCAAUACAAAAGAUUCAAUUGAUCUUGAAAAUCUAUACACUGAAAUUUCUUCAAGAAUCUCUCAGUUUCUUCACUAAACAAUGCCAUUUCCUUAGCAAUGGACUCCGAUCCAACAAAUUUAUCAAUUUUGGGUGCGAAAGUUUACUUGGCUUUACUAUUAUCGCCAAGUUCCCUUGUUUUUACUCUGUUUACUCCCAUGGCUUUUCUGUCUCUAUUGCGUGCCAUUCGUCAAGCAUUCAAGAAGCUAUGUCAGGUUUUUUGGUAAGGGACUAUGUCAAGGAUCCAGGAUGUGAAGAAGAAAGGAAGGAAAAAAAGAAAAAACAGUGGGCAAAGUAGGGAGUUUUGGGAAAGUGAGACGGAGGAUGAGAGUUUUGAAUUUAAAGAUUUGUGGUGUAAUCUUGAGAGGUUGGAAAUGGUAUUUAGUUUGGUUUAUUUAGGUCGGUUCCAGAUCGUAUGAAGGGUUUGGUUCUGACUGUUUGUGAGAUUCUGCUAAGGGCAGUUGACCUUUUACAGAAUCUCGGGAGUUUUGGGAGGUUAUGCAAGCUGUGUUCACGAAUUUUGAGUGAAGUGUUGAAAGAUAAGCAUGGAAAUCAGGGGGAUCCUGCAGCUUCAUCUCCAGCACUGCACCAAAUUUUGUUCUAAAUCUUGUGCCGAACUAAAAUUCAUUUCUAACCAUUACACCAAAUGAACAGUGUUUAACCAUUUUCUUCCAUUUUUUUAUUCAUUAUAUAAUUUUUUUAUUUGAAAUAUUAUUUAUUUAAUUAUUUUAUAAAUAUAUAAAUUACUAAACAAAUAAUUACAUUAAAUUAUGGAAAAAAUUAAAUUUAUUAAUAAAUAUAAAAAAUAUAGUACAGUUAAUAAAAAUAGUACAACAACGAAAAUAUUAAAUCAUGUCAUCACAAAAUAGUUUAAUGCAUUUCGAAUUUGGAUAUUACGAUAUUACGAAGGCUCAAAAUUUUUGCAAUUUAAUUCUCGAAAUUACUAAUAUGUACUUUUUUAUGUAUCAUUUUCUUUAAAUAAAAUUAGAUUAUCUUAUGUAUGUCGUCGUUUAAUAUAUUUUGUGUUAACUUUAAUAAAUAAUCGUGUUUGUUAUAUUUUAAUUUUUUUUCUUCUUUUAAUUAAUUUAUUAAUUAUUAUUUCUUACAUUUAAAAGUUAUUUUAAAUGCAAACAAUAAUAGUAGUAGUAGUAGUAGUAAUAAUAAUAAUAAUAAUAAUAAUAAUAAUAAUAAUAAUAAUAAUAAUAAUAAUUAUUAUUAUUAUUAUUAUUAUUAUUAUAUUAAAUAAUAUAUAGCAUAAAUGACAAAAAUACCCUUAACUAAUUUAUUUGGAAAAGAUUUAAAAAACAAAAAGAGACUUUAUACACUUUACACCAUUUUGGUGUGGUGCAAAGUGAAUGUGUUGACUUUGCAUCAAAAUGGUGCAAAGUACGGUAUUGGAUUGGAGCUCCUUUGCACCAAAAAAUGGUGCAUUUUGGUAUUUUGAUGCUCACAUUGGAGAUUUCUCAAGGUUUUGAGGGCAUUGACACCAUUGAUUUUGUUAACUAAGUCUCAGGCUAGGAGUUUUGCUCUAGGCUUUGUGGUGAAUGGGAUGGAGGGAAUGGGGAGAAAUUCCGAUGAUAUCAAAAAGGCAGUUUUGAAUUUGCCUAAGCAUAUGGUGAGGUAGGCAUUGGAAAGAGCUGAGCCUAGGGGGUUGGCGGUGGAGUCAAUAAUGGAGGUUGUUAAGGCUUUCGACUUUGAGGAUCAAGACCAGUUUGCUGAUUAUGUAGUCAAGAUGAGCGAAGGCAAGAUACAUUUUAGACUUUUGGCCUUUAAUUUAAGGGAAAAUUGCAGGCGAGAUACCAAACCUUUCGUUUAUUAGUAGACUUUGUCCAAACUUUUCAUUUGUGCCAUCGGAAGUACCAAACCUUUCAAAAAUGUGCACCCGAAGUCCAAAUGGACGGAAACCGUUAGUAAAUCCGUUAGUUUACCUAGAGUCAACAUUUUAACCAAAUUUUGACUGCAUUUUAAAGGGUAAAAAUGUAACAUUAGGUUUUUAUAUUAAAGAAUUAAAACAAUUAAAUUAAAAAUCCAAAAAUAAAAUAAAAAGAAAAGAAUUUCAAAAACUUUUCUUCUUCUUCUUCCCCACGCAGCCGACCUCGACUCGUCCCACCCCACCGAAAUCAACCAACGUCCACCCACCCCAAUCGCGCCGACCACUGUCAUUCACCGCUCCUAAAUUGGUCGACGACCAUCAUCUACCGUACCUAAAUCAUCGCACAGCAAUUGCCAGCAAAUAACAUUAACCAGAAGAUGAAAAAUCAAACAUACCACCCAUCAUCAUCCCCUUCUUCCCCAAACCCUUUACCCCAAAAUCACCAGAGGUUAUCACCGGCGGCACUGCCACCAUACGUCGGCCACCACUCCAUCGGGAUCAUUCAGGCCACCUUCGAUAGCGGUGGCCCAUCCAAAGAGGAUGAUGCAGGGGUCGUGGUUUUUAGUGUCAGCAACGACGGUGAGAGUGUGUCCACAGCGAGGUCCGGGGGCAUCCUCAUUGCUGUCCCAAUAGGUCUCUAAAGUGCGAUAGGUCGGAGUAGGAUGUUGGACUUGCUUAUUGCAAUAACGAUUAAGCACUGGACUUGCUUAUUGCAAUAAAGUUGUUGGGUUUGAAUUUGACGAGUCCUUCUCCUCUUCUUCUUCAAUAGGUAGUGGUGUUAAUGAGUUAUUCUUGUGAUGGUGGUGGCAGUGUUAGUAGAGGAUGGCGAUUAGGGCGGCGGUGGUCACUGGGAUGGAUGAAGGGUACCUGUAGAAGAUGAAGAUUUUUGGGUUUUUAAUUUAAUUAUUUUAAUUCUUUAAUAUAAAAAUCUAAUGUUAUAUUUUUACCCUUUAAAAUGCAGUCAAAAAUUGGUCAAAAUGUUGACUCUAGGUCAACUAAUAGAUUUACUAACGGUUUCCAUCCAUUUGAACUUCGGGUGCGCAUUUUAAAAAGGUUUGGUACCUCUGGUAGUACAAAUGAAAGGUUUGGACAAAAUCUGCUAAUAAACAAAAGGUUUCGUACCUUGACUGCAAUUUUCCCUUGAUUUAAUUCCAGUUUUAAUGGUGUUGACGAGAGAUCCAUUGGGAUUGCAUUCAAAUGAUGGGUUCAAGAGUUCAUGGGGGAUGAGGUGUUUCGAAUUGUUAGUUUAGCAUUGCUUGCAGCGGCGGCCCUGAGUAUAGGCGAAGUAGUCGAUUGCCUAAGACCCGCUUUGAUGAGGGCUCCAAAUUAUGUAAAGUUAAUUGGUUAGUGGAAGAAAAAUGAAAAUUAUAUUUAUGAAAUUUUGAAAAUAAAAUUAUCGUAUGCAAACAUAAGAAAUUAAUAAAAAUUGAAAAUACAAAAAUCUUUAAAUAUAUAUAUCAACAAACUUAUCAUUUUCAUUUAUUUAUCACAAACAUUACUUUUCCCAUUCAUAAUUAAGUUGACAUUUUAUCUUCUAAACAUUCAUUUUCUUUUUUUAACCAAACAAAAGGUCUCUUUGCCUUUUCAAGUUUCAUGUCCAAAAAUCACCCAUCAUUAUUUUUUCAACCCAAUAAGAUAUAAAUUAUUUUACUUUGAAUUAAAAUUUUGAAGAUUCAAUGCAAUUUGAUUUGAUCUCGCUGCUAUUGUUACAGCCUUACAUGUUUCUUUCUUUCUCUCUUAUCUUCAAAACAUAUACUACAUAAUAUAUAGAUUGUUAUUCCAUUGUUUUGUUUUAAUCUUAUGAUAAUAAUAUUUUUAGAUAUUUGCUUAAAGUAUUUUGAAUUUAAUAAUUCUUUAUUCUUAUUCAUUUAGAUACUUCUUAUUUUAAGUUAAUUUUUUAUAAAUUAAUAUAAAAUUAGAAGCUCGUUUAUAUUUGAUCAUCAUUUUCAUUAUUUUGUUACAAUAUCUUUUGCAGUCACAUCCUCCAAUUUUGUAUAUAAAUCACUAAAAUGUAUAUUCAAUUUUAUUUGAAAUAGCUGUAGUGAGGAAAUAAUCAUACAAACGAGCAUACCCCUUUCUCAUUGCAUUGUAAUUCUGUUUGUCACACUUUACUUGUAAUUUGCAUUGUUUGUUGAAAUUUGACAUUUUGUUUAUUUUCUUUUCAAAUUUUGGGGCCUAGCUGUCUGUGUUAGAUUCUUUAUAAUUGUAUUAAGCCCUUGUUUGGCAUCAAUUAAAAUAUAGAUUUUUAAUCUAAAUCAAAAUUGAAAAUUAAUUUUAACCAUAUAUUUUAUGGGUUCCAAAACUUGAAAUCCACAUAUUCUAUCUACUUCUAUCAAAAUAUACUAAAAAAUUGAUUUUAAGGGCUGUUUGAGCCCCAUUUUUCUCAAAAAAAUGUAUUUUGAAAUAAUGUUAUGGUAGAGAAUGUGGAAUUAAAAAAUAAGAAAAAGUUUUGGAUUUGUGUGUAAUAUUAUUUUAUUGAGAAAUGUAUGAUUGAAAUGAUAUCAAAUCACUAUUGAAUAAUAUAUUUUGAUGAAAAAUGGGAUUCAAAAAAGGACUUAAUCUACAUAAAACAAAUUAAAACUCUAUAUAAGGAGAGUAAAAAAAUAGGCCUAAUUUAAAAUUGGCAUAAGGGCCAAAAUAUCUGGACCGGCUCUGGUUGCUCGGAUAUAGCUGCUGGAAUUAGAGCUAGAGCUUUGACAAAUUUAGCUCAAUUAGUGGUGUCCUUGUUAGGAAGCCAAAGGAGUAGAGCAUUAUUGAAAGAUGCGAUGGGGUUCGGAAAUGAUAGGAAUAUUAGUUUCGAAGGUGCUCUCUUACAAAGACGCUGUAUGGACGAGAAGGGUGCUGUGAGAAAGGCAGCUCUUUUUUUGGUUACCAAGUUGAAGGCUCUUUAAUGCGGUGAACUUGAUGAAGAACUGCUAAGAACAGUUGGCAUAGCCUGUUUGGAUCCCCUUUUAGCAUUAGGAAAGCAGCAAUCCCUGCUCUAUCUGAGGUAAAGUAACCUAUCUAACGUAUCUAUUGUUCCCCAUUUUAGUUGGAUUUUGGAGUUAAACCGUGUAAUUAAUUCUUGAUAAAAAAAAAAAGUGCAUUAGCUUGCGUGCGUGCGUGCGUGCCUGCUUGAGUGAGUGUGUUUGUUGAAGCAUAUUAUGUCAAUCCGUAGAACAAAUUAUUUUUUCUUUUUUCUCAUUUACUUGCUUUUCAUGGUAUCUGCUGUUAAAUUGCCACCUUUCUUCUUAUAUUGGCGUGCUUAACUGCUAAUUCCUCAUCAAUUUUCCAUUUGUUUAUUCUUCUCUGUGGAAAAGAAAAUUGCCAUGCUUCCACGGAUAUUUCUCGAGUAUUUCUUCGAACUCGUAGGUGUUCAGGAUACACUUGACUAGUACUGUGACCAAGAAGUGGCUACAUUCUGUUCCGCGUUUGAUAAUUGAUAAUGAAACUAGCAUCCAAGAAGAAUGUGAGGACCUACUUUUAGAUCUUGUUCUUGAUUGGGUGUCAAAUGCUGGAUCCACAAGUUCAUCACACAAUGAAUCCCUUUUUCAUGAUUUUAUUGAUAAGAAAAGUAGCUUGGAUAUGAAAGUUGAGCUGUUAUAUCCUGAGGGAGUUCUAGGACUAUUGAAAGAGAUUUGUGAUGGAGAGGUGGCUCCUUGGUCGAAGAAAAUUUGCACAAGCCUGGGCAAAAAGAGAAGACUCCGGCCAAAUACUGCUAUUGCUCUUCAAUAUAUCAUAAAGACAUAAGAAUUUCUCUGGUUGAACCACUCCAAGAAGAUAGAGAAGUGGACGGCACCUCCUGGCGUUUAUUGGAAGUGUCAGCAUUCCUACCAAAAGCAGUGGACUGGGAGUUCCUCUAUCAUCAUUGGCAGCUCCUGGACAAGUGUAAACCCGUUCAUGAACUCAAAAGCCCACUUGAGCAAGAUGUGAAUGAAGGGAUGGUGGACAUAGAAUCCAAUUCUCGUGCUUGGGCAGGAGAUCGCGUCUUUCUCUUGCAAACAAUCUCUAACGUUUCUGUCGAACUGCCUCCUGAACCUGCAGCAGACCUAGCGCAUGACUUUCUCAAACAACUUCAGGAGUUCAACAUGCACUCAACCGAGGUAUAUAUCUGUCAAUUUUAUUGUUGUUGCUGUGACUAAUCUUUUUGUUGUGUGUCACUCUUGCUACUGGUGUAGCUUCACUAAGGUGAAUUGUAUGUGAAAACAGUUUGCAGAAUGCUUGUCUGAAGUCUUUAAAUUGAGAUAACCAAAGUACUCGAGAAAAUGAUCAUCUGCUGUAAAAAGAUAUUUUUCAUAUAUUUCUCAACAUAACUUUCUAUAUGUACAGUUCAACAAAAAUAUAUCUAAUGCUUCUGUUCAAUUUCCUUGAAUUUCUUUGUUACGUGAACUGGGGAACUACUUUGUGCAGCAGUAUUAUUUAUGACCAUACUAUUCUUUAUCACAUUUUUCAGUAAGUAUUGAACAAUUCAAUUUUUGAUGUCCUGAAUUUUUCGCUCUAAGUGAUAUCUGAUAUUUCAAUUACUAAAAUUUUUGUGAGAAGAUGAUCUAUCUUUGCACUACUAGCAAUAGACAAUUGCACAAAAGGUUUUCUCCUUUAAUAGGGCGAUGUGUGUUAAUAGUUUUGGAUUACCGAUAUAGCAGAUUUAGCUCAACUUUGUUAGGGAAAGGAAACUUUUAGCAUGUGAUUUUUCACAGGACUGCAUUGUUAAAUAGCAUUAUAUAACAGCAUGGGAACUCAUAGGACUGCGACAGGUGUCUGUCGCAUUGUAGAAAACACUACUCGAAAGUUGCAAUUAUUAGGUACUUGGUGAAUGAGAAUAAGAUGGUGUACUUGUGGCAGGUUGAAGCUUAUGUAAAGGCACUCAAAACACUGUGCAAACGGAAGGCUUUGCAUUCCAAGGAAGCUGAAUCUCUUGUAAUGAAAUGGUCUCACCAGCUUCUCUCUAAAGCCUCCAAAAAUUUAGACACCUACCUAUCAAAAAUCACUAAUGCAAAUGAAGACAUUGCUUUCCUAACUCCACAGACUCGUGCAAGUGAGAAAGGAACAAGAACAUGAUCGAUUGAUUACCCACAAGUGGACGGAAUCGUAAAUAAGUAAUAUAAUAGUGUGUAGAGUGGCGAACCCACGUGGACUAUGUGUUUGAUCCAGUUAAAAUUAACAAUACCCUUAAUCAAAUAGCAAAAUCAAGUUGUAACUAACACUAUUAAAUCUAUCAACUAAAUAGCAAGCAAGGUAAAAGUUUAUCAAAUUUUGCAAGAAGUAUUGCUAAGAUGUGGAAUCCCCCUGUUACUCAAUUUUUAGUUCAAAAUUUAAAUUGACAAUUUGAAAUCGUGCUUGUUAGUCAAUGUUCAUAUUUUAAUUGAAAACUUCUCUCGAUAGUUAUCAAAUCUAUUCCCCUAAUGUAACAUUCUUAUCUCUCGAUGGAAGAUGCGAACAUGAUAAAUGCAUUAAAUGAGUUAGAACAUCUUUAACAACCAUGUGAAGCAUAAAGGUAUAUUUCUAUCCUUUAUUGAAGCUCACAAUAUUUAUUAAUAUGUGCUAACAAUCUUAUUACCUCUCUCGAUGAUAAUAAAAUUCACAAACAAUUCAAUUAAUGGCCAAGUAGUUGAAAAGCAAAUUAAACCAUAAUAAAUAUCCAAGAAUUCAAACAAAUUGAACGUCAAUUUAAAUAUUCAACCCAAAAAUUCGUAACAAGAGUUCAUCACAUCCUAACAAUAUAAAAAAUUAGCCACGCAUGAUGUUUGAAUUAAACAAAUAAAGUUUGAACGACAUUACCGAAUAACUGACGGAACGUGAAUAAUUUCCAAAGUAAAUCUCAUCUCUCUCUUUUUAUUCCAAUGGGCUGCCUCCUUUUUGUAUCUUUUUCUCCCCAAAAAGUUGCUGCCAAUGUGUUAUAUUUCAGCCAAAGCAACCCUCCAAAAACAGCCUCCAAUUCAAUCUCCAAAUCUGGCCUUUGCUGUGCGUGUAUGUGUGUAUAUAUCAACUCCAGGAAUAAUCUAUGUAUAUAAAAUCAAUUCCAGCCGCCUAUAUACGUGUACAAUAAUCAGUCCCCAAAGUGGCUGCUAAUGCGUGAUUUUAUAAUCCUCGCAGCAACUUUAAUGCUUUAACUUGUUCAAAUUCCAACCCCUUUUUUAAUCAAAUUCAGCCGCCCUUUAUCACCUCAAUUACUGCCUCUUUUCUCCAGCAAACUGUCUCCAAUGUGUGUGUAUAUGUAUAUAACGUUUGCUGUCAAAUUGUGUAUAAUUUUGUAAUGAAAUCAGCCGGCAACAACCCUUAUGAAUCUGUAGGCGUAUGUGUAUAUAUCUUCUUCCGUGCCGAAUAAUCCUUCACGUCACCGCACAAUGUAUAAAUAUAUAAUAUUACAGCCCCUUAUUGUUUCUGUGCCAAGAAGUCGCCGUUUUUCUCUGUUUUUCUCCCCCGCCAAUUGCCUUUUUGUUUGUGUAAUGUAUAUAUACAUACACCACACCAUGCAGCCCUUUUUGCUAUGGAACGAGAAUCCAGCCCACCUACCUUUUAUUGUGCCAAUUGGGAGUCCAAUUAUAAAUCACUUCCAUUGCAAAUCCAAUUUCAAAGCCCAAUAUUUUAUAAUAAUCCUUUCCAAGGCCUCAUUUUUUCCAAAUAUGCAAUUUAGUCCUUCAAUUUCUAUUUAAUUAUGCAGCCCAUGUCCUUUUCAAUUUUUAAAGCACGGAAGCUGAGUUCUAAAAUUGCCAGUUUCAUUCAAUUACAUCAUUCUUCCUUUCCAAUUGCUUCAAACGAGCUCAUCACUAAAAACAAAAGAAAAUUAGACCAAAGUUAAUUAGAAAUUAAUAAUUUGACGACAUAAAAAUUAAAUAAUGUAGCAAUAAUAAGUGCACAAAAUGCACUUAUCAAAUACCCUCAAACUUAAAUAUUUGUUUGUCCUCAAACAAAAUUAUAACCUAAAUAACAACAAACACACAAGCAUACAAAAAUAAUUGGUUAAAUAAGUAUAGCUUUUUAUCUAAGGAUUUGAGAUCACGGUAUUAAAUUUACAAACAGCUUCAAACUCACGAUACCAAACCAAUAUCCAUUUUUUCAAUGCAAAACUGAUGUGUGUGUGUGUGUGAAGAGUUAAUUAGACAGUAAUGACUUCAUAAGUUGUUCCAAUUCUCGAGCGUCUAUGGUCGAAUUUAUCCUUUCAUCUCGCGUAAGAUUUACACUCCCCCAAACUUUUUCUUUUUUCACUCUUUUCCCAGCAUGUAAUCUAAGGUUGAAUUUUUUAUUACUAUCAUCACCCUCUCCAAUUUAGGUAGAUGUUACUAAUUGUAAGUCAACACAUCAAUGAGCAAGGAUUCUUCAAUUAUUUGAUUGCUUCGACAGCUAAAACUCAGUUAGGCUAAUUAUCCUUCAUCGAAAGUCAAAUUCCCUCCAACAAGUAUUAGGACUUAACAAGGCAUUUAAUGCAUUAUUUAUUUUUUUUGAACUCCCCUUUAAACUUUCUAGAUGACCCAUGUAGCAGACUUUAGGCCGAUGACUCCCAAGUCAGACGACUUUAGGGCACCUGAUUUUUAAACACCCUUAUAGACUUAAUAACCCGAGUAAAAAAAGGUUUCGAAGAGAACAAUUAUUUAUUUUUUCUUUUUCAUUUCAAUGGCAACUUCAUUUCUGAUUGCUUUUGAAAUGACCAUUGUAGCGAGUUUUAGGCCAAUGACUCUCAAGUCAUAUGACUUUAGGGCAUCAGGUUUUAAGAUACCCUUGCAGGUUUAAUUGCACGAGUCAUGAAUGUUUCAAAGAGAAGUUUUAAUUUUAAAAUAUAUACCUUGAUUUGUGCAAUGCCCCUUAUCACACACCUAUUCAAGAAAAUUGACGUCCAACUAAAGACUUUCACCUAAUUUUAUCCCGUUUGUCUCAGACAAUGUACACAAUUUUUUUUUUCUUUUUCACACAAGGAAUCUUUGGUCACAUUCGUAUCUUCCUACAAUAGUAAAAUCACCCAAAACCAUGCUAAAUUGUUUUAAGGAUAAUUAGUUUAGUGUGGUUUGAGUAAAGCAUCUAUGUCCAACUAAAUCAAUCUAUAAAGAGCAUGAAACAACUCAUUUCAUCACAAUGUCAAACUCACUUAUAGUGCGCAUAUAAUAUUAAGUUUUGCAAGGUUAGGUUUCAAUCAGUCUAGCAUGCAACAUAUCCAUAGUUCAUAAAUUAACACUAAAUCCCCAAUUUAAUCAUCAUUGUAGGCCUAGACUAUUUAACCUACACAAGCACACAACUGAAUAAAAGAGGUUUUUUUUUUUUAAUUUUAAAUUUUUUCUUUCCUUUUUUUUUUAUAACUAAAGCAAAACCACAAAAACCCCAAAAAAAAAAAAAAAAAAACCCAAACUUAAAAUUGACAUUGUCCUCAAUAUCAUAAAGUAUAAAUAAGCACAUAAUGGGGUAGGAAAGAAAAGGAAGAAGGUACUCCCCAAUUUUUUUUGUGGAAUGUAUGAGGCCCUAUGUGUGACGACUAGGCAAAUUUUUCAUUAUGCUUUUCUCUUAGUUUAUGUUGAUUUGAUUGUUCCGCGAUAUCAUGUUCCUGCAUAUAGCAAUUCAAGUCAAACAUUAAAAAUCAAAUAACCUAGAAUAUGUGUUACUUAGUCCAAACAAUGAAAAUACCAACAAUAAAUUCAAUGGCAUAAGAGGAGUAUUGAGGAUGGUGAUGAUACUCUAUAAAUUAAAACAUGCAUAAAUCCAAUGCAACCUAAUAAUCAAAACAAAUCUAUAUGUUUUGCAAUGCAGAAAGCAAAAUAAAUAAAAGGGUUAAAAGAUUUGGUUGCCUCCUAAUAAGCGCUUAAUUUAUAAUCUUCAGCUAGACUAUACGGAUGAAUUGAUUACGGUGGCUUAAAUAGGUGUUUUGAGCUUUUGCACUCUUUACAAUUUUCAGCUUUGCAUCAUCGUUUUGCCCUCCAAACCUUGAACCCUCCAUUCUUCUCUCGUCCAAUGCUAACUAGAUGUUUAGGCCCCAUUUCUCUCGAGUCUUGUUGCACCUUUGUAGUAAUAUACUUGCACUCUUCCUUAGUCUUUUUACUGAUCUCUUCAUGUAAUGGAUUCUCGAUAGUGUUGUAGAUCUUGAACUUCUCUUGCUUAUCUUCCACUCUCAAUGUCAAUUUGCCACUUUCAAAGUCCAUGACAAUUCGGCUUGUUGAUAGAAAGGAUUUGCCCAAGAUAAGUAACGCUGCAUCCCAUGGCUCCUCUAUAUCUAGGACAACAAAAUCAAUGGGAAAUAUGAAAUUUCUCACUUUAAUGAGCACGUUCUCAACCACUCCUCGUGGGUAUUUAAUUGAUCUGUUUGUCAAUUGAAGGGAGAUGGAUGUGUCCUUUAACUCUUCCAAUCCUGAUUUUCUGUAUAUAGAGAAAGACAUUAAGUUCAUACUUGCUCUUGAGUUGCAUAAACAAUUAAAAUUCAAAUAAUUCCCUAUUGAGCAAGGUAUUUUGAGACUCUCUGGAUCCUGUAGCUUAGGAGGUAAUUUGCUCUGCAAGAUGGCACUACACUCCUCAUUUAACUUGAUGAUCUCAAAAUCUAUAAGCCUUCUCUUUUUCGAUAGGAUCUCCUUCAAAAAUUAUGCAUAGUUUGGUAUUUGAGAUAAAGCUUCAAUCAAUAGUAUAUUGACAUGAAGCUUCCUAAAGAUAUCCAAGAACUUUGCAAAUUGUUCUUCCAACUUCCUCUUUUGUAAUCUCUGUGGAAACGGGACAGGAGGCCCAUAACAUUUGACAGGAACGGUUGCCUUAACCUGUAGAUUUUUUGACUCUUGAUAUGGAACUAUUUUAUCUAGCUGCUCAGAUUUAUCCACUUGCUCCUCAUCUAUGGAAGGUACUUUUUCAUUUACUUUUACCCAUCUUUCAACUCUGAUUUCUGGAAGUUGAACCUCACUGCGUGUAAUGAUUGCCCCAACCUAGUCCUUCAAUUUCUAUUUAAUUAUGCAGCCCAUGUCCUUUUCAAUUUUUAAAGCACGGAUGUUGAGCUCUAAAAUUGCCAGUUUCAUUCAAUUACAUCAUUCUUCCUUUUCAAUUGCUUCAAACGAGGUCAUCACUAAAAACAAAAGAAAAUUAGCCCAAGUUAAUUAAAAAUUAAUAAUUUGAUGACAUAAAAAUUAAAUAAUGUAGCAAUAAUAAGUGCACAAAAUGCACUUAUCAAACAGUUGCAUCUGUAUUCACAUUAGAAUCACGGGCCAUUACCGCUCUAUAUACCAUUGGCUCAUUAAUUAUUGUUGUCCUUCAGCCGAUUUAAAAGCUAUUGUUCCAGUAUUAUACGCCAUUAUCACUUCUGGUAGUUCUGACAGAAAAUCUAAUGGAUAACCUGGGGCUUUACUUCCUUUAUAGCAGAUUACCGCUUCCUUGUACAUUCAAGCCUGACUAACCAUAGGCAAGAUCUGCCUUGCUGAUGGGGACCUUGCAAAGCGAUAUCUUCCCUUGUUUGGGCAAGUAUGGGUUCAUCUCAGACUUCAUGAUUUUUACAUCAUAACAACUUUCUGAGACCCAAAUUUUGCUAGUUAAUGCAAAUGUAAAAGUGAGUUUAUGAAGGUAAUGUAUUGUGAUUACUCCAUUGAGGUUUAGCAAAAACCAAAUAUGGGCAGAAUCUUUUUUUCUUGCACAUUUCAAGUUCUCAUUACAUUUGAAGUUUUGCAACAUUUCUAGCAAUUUUUUGCUUUUCAAUCUGAAUUUGUUCAUAAAGUGUGCUCUUUUUAUCCUCAAGUCAAAAUAACAGUUGCAACCCAUUAUUGUAGUUGAUUCUUAUAAACUAAAUUAAUGGAUAAUGAUUUCCAAGAGCUUGAAAAGAGUGAUUAACUACAAGUUCCUUUGUUAGUUUCGUUUAAGAAUUAAUACUGUGUAUGUAAUUUCUCUCCAUAUUAUCAAUUAAUAUACAUCAUUUUUCUGCAAUUAACUCUCUUUGUUCUUCUUUUCUUUUAAUCUUGUUUCUUAUUGUGAUCUUUAUUACUUCAUAUUGUGUCAUUAUCUCAUUCAUUACAAUCCCUCCAGGUCGAACAAGUGGUAUCACAACUUGAUUCUUCUUCAGUGGAUUAGCUGAGUUUUUUCAAAUAUGACUGCCAUGAAGUAUGAAAUCUCGCUAGUGGAUCACAAUACAAGGGUUUCUUUGUAGCAAGUAAAGAUGAGGGACAUUCUGGCACAGUUAGAUUUGGAUGAUGCCCUUCUGGAUUUUGAGAAAAUGCCAGCUGAUUGGACAACGGAAGAGAAACAACGGAGAGAUCGAAAAUUUUUAUCACAGAUCCAUCUUCAUUUAUCCAACUACAUUCUGUAGGAUGUCUUGAAGGAGAAAACAGCGGCUGGUUUGUGGUUGAAACUGGAGCAGUUAUGCAUGACUAAAAGUCUCACGAGCAAACUGGCUCUAAAGUAGAAGCUAUAUUCCCAUCGCAUGAUGGAAGGAGGGUCACUAAAGGACCAUAUUGCCGUGUUCAGGGAAAUAGUUGCAAAUCUGGAGACAUUGGAUGUUAAGUACAAUGAAGAGGAUCUGGCUUUGAUCCUAUUGUGCUCGCUGUUUGGCUUUUAUGCAUCGUUUCUGGACACCAUUUUGUAUAGUCGGGAUACUUUGACUACAGAUGACGUCUAUGAUGCUUUGUACUCAAAGAAGAGGUUGGAGCAUUUGAUUGGAGCUAUAUCAAGGGAUGAGGAAGCUAUUGUAUCUCAUGGUAGUUGAUAAAAGGGCAGAUCGAAGAAUAACAACAAUUUGUUUUGCUUCAGGCUAAAGGUGAUUUAGUUGCAAAUCGUGGAGCGCGACCUUUGACUUCAAACAAAACAAAUGUAGUUGAGGAUUUUUCAGACGGUGGAGAUGUGAUGUUAAUCGUGGUAUCUGACGUGGAAUCUAGGCCUAACGAAGAGUGGAUUCUCGAUUCGACAUGUUCAAAUCAUACGUGUUCUAAUCGGAAUUUCUUUCAAACAUAUGAGGUUGCUCAGCAAGGUGGAGUUUUAAUGGGAAACAACCAGUCUUGCCGUAUUGUUGGGAUCGAUUGAGUCAGAUUUAGGCUACGGGAUGAGACAGUCAGAAUAGUUGAUCAAGUUCGACAUGUUCCAGACCUAAAAAGGAAUUUCAUCUCGCUUAGUACUCUGGAUGCAAAAGGGUAUAAAUUCUCUGGUGAAGGUGGAGUCUUGAAAAUUCGAAAGGGUGUCCGGGUUAUACUAGAGGGAUGGAGGUCUCAGUUGUUUAUCUUUCAGGGGAGAGCAGAACCAAUUAAGAGACAUUUAGACAAGUUCAGUACCAUGGUGGAUAUUCAAUUUGGUACAGUACCUCUUGUAACAGGGCUCUGGGUCGGUUCAAAACAUUGCUCGAGGGAGCGUUGAUGAUUCUGCUUUGCCACAAAUUUCAACGGUUGCACUGUGUUUAGUUGCUAGGGUUGGAUCCAUUGAGCGUAGGAACCGUGGUGUCACUUAUGUCUGUAAUGCUUUUGGAGACGUUGAAGACGACAGUUUUAGUAAGAGGCCUUCUGUUAAGGCAUUUUGUAUGGUUUCUGCUGCAGAAUGUGCUUCGACCUUGUUUGGUAAACAUUAAUUCCUUGGUGGAAUUUUGGAAACUCGGGAGUAGGGUUCAGGUGUCACUUAUGGACGCCGUGCAGAGGAUGAUGGUUUAUAUGGAGAGUUUUGGUUACUGCAUUGAGGAGAUUGGCCAUUUCAUUUUGAUAUAAAAGGGUUUAUUUCUCAGGUGGAGAAAUUUUGUGGAGCCCUGCUCAUUGUAUCGAAAUUUAAGUCAAGGUGGAGAUUGUUAGGCUUUGUGACUCAAAUAUAGUUAAGAGUUUUGUGAGAUUGCGUAUUUGAUUUUUACUUGAAAAAGAUUAUAUCCAAGUUGGACAAGGAAUGGAAAUCCUCUCUUGGUCGAAGUUCUAUACAUAAUUGUAAUCUAAUUUUAAUAGGUUUUCUUACUUUUUAGGACUCUUUUAGGGUUCGGAACAUGGCCUAUAAAUACAAAACUCCUUUACCAGUUUUGUUUAAGCAUUAUUGUUGUGUCUGUAAUUUCUCUUCAUAUUGUCAGUUAAUAUAUACAUCGUUCCUCUGCAAUUAACUAUCUUCGUUCUUCUUUACUUUUAAUCUUGUUUCUUAUUGUGAUCUUUAUUACUUCAUAUUGUCUCACUAAUCUCAUUCAUUACAAUCCCUUUAUGUCCAACAAUUUUGUGGUGCCGGGGUUUAUUCUAGGCAAUUAUCCCCUUUUUUUACUGUACCUCUAGGAACUAUGAUUAUCCACCAUGGCGUAUAGUAUGGGUAGGCUUGGAUUACUUGAACAUGUAAAGUAAUUCUUGACUUACAUCGAAUUAGUAACUUAUUUCCAACUUUCACCAAAAACAAGCUUAUUUACUCAAACAUUUGUAAGUUAGCUGAACGUGUUCUUCAUUUUCUGUGCUUUACUUUUAGUUUUUCCUAAGAUUUUAGCAUUAAUCUUUAAUGUAAACUUGCACUAAUAUGCCGCAUUCAUCAUUCUUUCUAGCAAAGAGAUCAAAAUUCAAUCCAACCAAGUAUUUUCAUCGUAGGCAGCAGACGUAUAAGAAGAGGGUUGAGACAAUGGAGCAGCACUUGCUAAAGGAAAAGCCUUAACUCAAGUUGUAAAAAAAAAGCCUCAUCCAAAAUACCAUCCCCAUCUUCAUUGAGUUGAAAAAGUUACUCCAAAGCAAAAAAUAGCCCUCUUAUUGGUUCCCUCAUGGAAUGCCUAAGGAUUCUUCUCAAGGACUACAAGAAUGAGAUUGAUGAUCUACUAGUUGCUGAUCGACAGCUUUAGAAAGAACUCGUUACAACAUGCAAAAAUAUGAGUCAAUGAAAGCGAGAUCGACUGCAGCUAAUGCUGUUGCCUCAACGUAAAGAUCAAGAGGAUAUAAUUCUCCAGCUAAUACUAAGGUGGCAAAUUCAAGUGCCCUCAAAAGUAAAUUGCCCAAAAAAGCUUAAGAGGGAUGCAAAAGUGGCUUCAGCGAUCGCAGAUGCACUAGCAGCGGCCACAGCACUGACUAUGCUAUGGGAAGUAAAUAAGGGUGCAUCAACACCUCCUCUCAGUGCGAUGGGGGUGCUGAUUCUCAAGUCCUGCACGAGGGAAGCAGCUGGACAAGGAGGAGAUCAGUCUGCCAACGUGAUAGAAUCUCUACGGAGGAGACAGUUUUUUAACUUUGAUGAUGAUAACUUAUCUUAAAGCAUUUUCCAGAUGAGGAUCAUGAUUAGGGGCGGACCCACAUGGGGUCAUGUGAGGUCAAAUGACCUCACAAUUUUUUGGAAUUUUUUUUCCCUGCUGAAAACGUAAUUUUUUUUCUCUCCUGCUGCUUGCUCCCAACAGCCAAGUGACCAACCUAAUUAAUUUCCCUAGUCCAAUGCCCAAAAAUCCCAAAUCCUAAAUCUAUAUCUAUAUCACAUGGUCCAUAUUCAUUAGUUAGUCCAUAGAUAUAUUAUAUAAUCCACCAAUUUCUCCCCAAAGUGCAAACACCGAACACGAAUAGUAAACCACCGAUUUCUCCUCUUUGUUCAUGAUACGUUGUUCGAAAACAAAUUCAUUUUUGAACCCACAAGUCGAAGUGUCUGGGUCCGCACCUGAUCAUGAUUGUACAAUUGCCUCUCAGUUUUAUGAGAAUUUCAUUCAGUCAUAUAAUGUUGUACAGUAAAGUGUAAUAGGAAAUAGUUACGAUUUUGAAAUAAUGGCAUUGGACAGUUUUAAAUGUUUUGGUAGUGUUUGUGUCAUUGUUUCCUUUAGUCACAUCAACAUUAUCAGUUAUUUCAAUAAAUGAAGAUAGAUAAAUUGCCUAAGGUGAAAUAAAAAUGAAGGCUCGAUGAUUAACUUGGGACAAAAAUGUUUGGUUAGCAAUAUGGACAACACAUGAGAGGUUAAUGUAGAGACACAUGGAAGUUCGCAAUUGUCGCUGGUCAAUGUUAGAUCCAACGAUAGGAGGUCGUAUCAUUUUCCCUUUUUUAUUGAUACGAUAGAAUAGGAAAAUAUCCUACUUGGGAAGAGAAGCAAUUUAUAGUUGGAGUAACAAAAGGAAUUGAAGCUUUAUCUUUUUUUCGCUGCUUCCUUUCUAGGUGCGGGACAAAUGGUUAGACGUCGAAUUUGAUCACCACUUCCAGUGGAAAAGGAUCAAACCACACACAUCAUGUGAUGAAGAUUCCAACUUAGUUGACUACUAGAAAUGUAUGGAAAAUACCUCCAACAUUUAACGAAGAUUGACACGUUUCAAAUUUAAAUCACAAACUUUAUCAAUUACCUCUCCAUUCAUCAACCCACAAUUAAAGAAUAUUAAGGCAAACUAGCUAAUAGUGAGGAGAAAUAAAGCUAAAACAAAUCAGUUAUGAUCUAUUUAUUUGUUGAGAGAUCAAUAUUUGACCUCUAAAAGUCUCUUUUUGAAGAAAAUACAUUUUAACAUAAACAGGUAACAUUCUUCCCUGUCGCGUCACAUUAUGAUUGGUCGAAUGUUUGAACAAACACGCUUUUAACGGGACCAUCUUCACCCACUCUUCUUCUUUUUCUUCUUCUUCUUCAUUUUUUAAUCGGUAAAUGUGAAAUGUAUUGAUAAAAAAAUAUAAAUACAAAUACACUAGGCCUUCUCGGGCUUUCAAGUACAUAUACAACUACAUCGGGCAUUUCUGAGCAAAAUAAAAUGUGGAUAAACAAAUACAACUAGUAAAAACUAAAGAUCCAUAGCUAAGGACUCAAAAUGAAUCAAAAUAUUCGGAUACAAAGAAAACAUGACUUUGUAUACGUGUAUUUUGAUUCGUCGAACAAUACUAUCAAUAUGUAGUAUAAAAUCAUAAAAAAAUCCUUCUAUUUCUUGCCAUCCAAAUGUGGUAAACAGUUGUAGUAAGUGUAAUCCUUCUAUUUCUUACCAUCCAUGGUUGUUGGCACCUAUGUUGUAAAUUUUGUAUAUAUUUGUGAUUGAUUUGUAAUUUUUUAAAAAUUGGGGGCUGUGGUUGCAAUUAGUUAUUUGUUGUUUCCUUUCUUUUUGUUUUAUCUGAAUGGAGGGUAAAAUUGUCCAAAAUUGGUGAAAAGGUCAUCCAGCGCCAAGAAAGGUGGAAAUAUGGGCAAAAUACCAAAAAAUAAAAGGUAGGGACUACUUUUAUUUUAUUGAAAUUAAUAAAAUCACUUAUGCUUUCAUCAACUUUAUAUCAAAUAAUCUAUUAUUUCAACCGUUCUUUGUCCUGUGAUUUACUUUUCUUGCGUACUUUAAGGAUCCAAUGCUUGAAGAUAAAAGGUCAUUGAGAACGACACUUGUACCAUUAUUGAGAUGAAAUGUUCUAAGAGAAUGGCACAAGUGCCAUUUAGAAGAUGAAAAGAUCAUUAAGAACGGCACUUGUAUCGUUACUGAAAUAAAAAGUUCUAAAAGAACGAUACAAAUGCCGUUAUCGAAAUAUAACUUAUACUUGAGAAUGGCACUUGUGCCGUACCUGUAAAGAAAAUGCCACUUGUGCCAUUCUAUCUAUAAAUACCAGUAUAAGCAGCCAUAACCCAUCUAGGUCUCGAAAAUCAAUAAGUUAAAUUCCUUUCAAUUGCAAGACAAACAUGUCAUUUACAAAAGUUGAGAGAUGUACUCAUUAAUUGUAUUUCUAACAUAUCAAUACAUUGACUUGUGAUUUUACCAACUCGAUAUUAUAUAAUCUAUAUCAAUUCAACUGUUCUUUAUCACGUGAUCAACCUUUUUGACUUUCUUAAGUUAGAUGAUUCAAUGUUUGAGGUCGUUGAGUUAGAAAAGAAGUAAAAUAUUUGAAUAAUCAAUAAAACAACAUAAGAGCUGUUAAAUGACACUUGAAUCGUUCUGUCUAUAAAUACGAGUAUACAUAGCUACGACCCAUACAUGCCCCCAUAACUAAUAAGUUGUACUCAUUUCAGUUGCAAAAUGGACAUAUCGUUUUUAAAAGUUGAGAGAUGUGCUCAUUUUAGUUGCACAAGUGGCGUUUUAACGAUAUACAAACUUGUUCAUAAGAACAUCACAAGAGACAUUAGGUGAUCCAAUACAUGUGGUCGGUAUGAUGAAAAUGUAGCAACGCAUUGAAGAAAUCAAUAGAAUGGCAUAAGUGCCAUUAAACAACACUUGUGACGUUCUCUUUAUAAACAAAAGUAUAAGCAAGCACGACCGAUCCGAAUCCUAAUAAUCGAUAAGCUGAACUCAUUUAUAUGGCAAGAUGGACAUGGCAUUCAUAAAAUUUGAAAGAUAUGCUUAUUAAUUAUAUUUAUUAACAAAUGUAAAUCAUGACUUGUGAUGUCACCGACUCAAUAUCAUACAAUCUAUGUCAAUUCUAUCAAUAUUUGUCAUAUAACUAACCUUUUUGACUUUCUUAAGUUAGGGAGUCCAAUACUUGAAGUCGUUAUGGUGAAAACGAAAUAAAAUACUGGAGAAAUCAAUAUAACGACAAAAGUGUCAUUAAACAACACGGUUCCAUUUUAUUUAUAAACACGAGUAUGAGCAUCCGCGACCCGUUCGAACCUCGAUAAGUUGAACUCAUUUAAAUUGUAAGAUAGACAUGACGUUUACAAAAUUUGAUAGAUAUGCUCAUUAAUUAUAUUUUUCAAUGAAUAUAGAUAAUACCUUGUGAUUUUUCCAACUUGAUAUCAUACAUUUAUGUCAAUUCUACCAAUAUUUGUCACAUAACUAAUAUCUUCGACCUUCUUAAGUUAGGGAGUUUAAUGUUUGAGAUUGUUCUUGGGAAAAUGAAGCAAAAUAUUGAAUAAAUCAACAUAACAACAAAAGUGCCGUUAAACAACACGUGUGUCGUUUUGUCUACAAACACGAGUAUGAGUACCCACGGCCUAUCCAAGCCUCGAUAAUCAAUAAGUUGAACUCAUUUAAGUUGCAAGAUGAGCAUGACAUUUACAAAAUUUGAGAGAUGCUCAUUAAUUAUAUUUUUUAAAGAAUGUAGAUAAUGCCUUGUGAUUUCUUCAACUUGAUAUCAUACAAUUUAUGUCAAAUCUACCGAUAUUUGUCACAUAACUAACAUUUUCAAUUUUCUUAAGUUUGGGAGCCCAAUGCUUGAUGUCAUUUCGAUGAAAAAUGAGCAAAAUAAUAGAGAAAUUAACAUAACGGUAAAGGUGCUAUUAAACGACACGUGUGUCGUUCUAUCUAUAAAUAUGAGUAUGAGUACCCAAGAUUCGUUUGAGCUCCGAUAAUCGAUAAUUUGAACUUAUUUAAGUUGUAAGGUGAAUGUGGCAUUUACAAAAUUUGAGAUAUGUGCUCGUUACUUAAUCAACAUGAAAAAAGAAAACAGUACAAGUAUUGAGACUGUUAUGAAAACGGCACAAGUAUCGUUACGUAUAUAAAUACGAUAUGAAUAAUUGAUACCAUAUAUACUUUGAAAUUAGUUGCUAUUAAAUCAACAAUAUUUAAUUUUUGAACAUCUUUUCUAUAUUUUUUUAAGUGAAAUAUUUAAAACGACAUCAGUGUUGUUUUAUAAUAACAAAAUAAAAGUAUAUAUGUCGUUAUAGUUUCAUCGACCCAAGACAAUGACAAAAUCAAUCGUUCCAAACAUUAUAAACAGUUUGCAUUUCAAAAUGACAGAAGCGAACAUCAUAACACCACCAUUAUUUUUCAAUAUUACAAAAGCAGCACAUCAUAAAUCACUAAAACUAGCAGAUGUGUCGUUUUGUUUUCAUUGUCCAUGUCUCUAGUUGAGUGGUACAUGAUCCGUACAAGUGAAAUUGUUAUGCCCUGUUUUCAAACACCUAUUACACUUAUGGUUGUAUUGUCGCUUUACAUGGACGAUAACGAUUGUAGUGCCGUUCUACACUAUAGAUAACGACUGGAGUAUUGUUAUCGUUCAAUAGUUAUGGACAGUAAGUAAUGAAUAACAAGAAUUUACAACAGCAAGGAUAGGGAGAGCAAGUCGAUGAUUUUUGAAGAUGAAAUGAGGAAUUUGAAUGGAUUGAAAGGGGUAUUUAGGUCUUUUUCAUGGCGAGGGCAUUUUGGAUUUUUGAUAUUAUUUGUUUAUUGUAUUUUGUAAUUGAAGGUUAUUAUACCAACAAAUAUUGAAAUGAGGUUAUUUAACCAAAUACAUUGUUUGAAUAGGCUUUUUAACAAACUCCUCCCAUUGUAUUGAGGCAUUUUGUUGAACUGGGUCGAUAGAAUUUAGAAGUUGAUGUGUUUUUAGAAUUCAAAAACCAUAAUUAACAAGGAUGAAGCAUUAAGGUGUAUCAGUAUUGCCAAGGAGGCAAUUGCGUCAGGCAACAAAGAAGAGCCCUUAAAUUUGUCGGACUUGCUCGCCGCCUUAAUCAAAAUUUACCUGUUGAUGAUCUUUUAGCCUCGUUUGAGAAUCUAGAUUCAUCAUCGUCCCCAGGGCUAUCUGAUGAUGUAAAGAAUGUUAAUAAAAUGAAAGAUGACGUUGGUUCAGUUAGUGGUGAUGGGAUUCCAAAUGGAGUGAGGAAUUACUUGGAGGAGCACAUGCAAUUGAUUAGGCAGAUUAAGAGUAAGAAGGACUAUUACUCGAUUUUUGGUUUAGAGAGGAGUUGUUUAGUUGAGGAUAUAAGGAAAGCAUACAGGAAGUUGUCGCUGAAAGUACAUCAUGAUAAACCAGGGUCAGAGGAGGCAUUUAAAAAAGUUAGCAAGGCGUUCAAAUGUUUGAUUGACAAUGACUUGAGGAGGCAAUAUGAUCAGACAGGGUUAGUCGAGGAUUUUGAGUAUAAUCAGCAGUACAACGUUAGGCAAAGGAGAAGGAGAACUGGGAAUGACUUCUUUGCUGAUGAUUUUGAUCCUAACGAUGUUUUCGGGCCUUUUUUGGUCAGAAUGGCGUGUUUAGGAAUGCCCAUGUUUACAAGACAAAUACAAAUGGACCUGGUGGUCAUCAGAGGGAGGAUUUGGGUGGUAUCGAUCCUAAUUUGUUGUUUCUUCAGUUAGUGCCAUUUUUGAUAAUCAUCUUGCUUGCUUAUCUUUCCGUCUCAGAGCCUGAGUAUUCUUUGCAAAGGAACUAUUCUUAUGGGUUUACAAAAAUGACAGAAAAACAUGGGGUGGAGUUUUUUUGUUAAAUCAACUGAUUUUGUUGACAAUUAUCCACAUGGAAGCUCUGCUCAAAUCGACAUUGAAAAUAAUGUGAUCAAGGACUACAAACACAUGCUUGGGCGUUAUUGCCACAUAGAAAUGCAAAGGCGUGAAUGGAACAGACAAUUUCCUACUCCUCAUUGUGACAGGCUAGAAACUUUAAUGGCGUGCAGGUUAGUUCACGCACUCUUACAAGUUUUUUGCACAACUUGUUUAUUUGUUGAACUAGUAUACUAAGUUUGGACUAUAUCUUACAUGUGAAGUAUGUUUCUUUUUUUCUUCCUCCCAUUUUUUCUUUAUUUUGAUAAAAAGUACCUCUUGAAAAUAAAAAAUGGCUAGUAUCUAUCUUAUUUUACUAAGGUUGACACCAAAUUAUUAAGAGUGACACAGGACAAUAAUUUGUUUUAGCAGUAAGAAACAACAAUAAGCCGGCCACCAUGGUUGAGUGUUCGUGCCCAACACGUAUUGGACACUGACAUGUGUUGGUCACGCCAUUUGGCAGGUCCAAUUUUUUAGAUCCAGACACAUUGCCCACUCGUUGUCAACACUGCACCAACAAGGUGACACUACAAUUCCAUUUCAAAUAAUCAAAACUGAAAAGGGAAAAAGAGAGAGAAAAUAACUUGAAAAUAAGUUCUAAAGAAGUUUCUGUUGGGUGGUAUUGGGCAUCUUUCACCCCAAAAGCUAGCUCGAGAUGUGAGGCUCUUCCUCACACUUAUAAACUGAAUACCAACCCUAUCCAUAAUCGAUAUGAGACAACCUUAACAAGCUCCCCCUCACACAUCAGGUUUCGUGGGGGACCAAACACGUCCCCCCUACAUAUCGGGUCCUGUAGGAAACCAAAUCCGUCUCUCCCUCACAUAAAUCUGUAUCUCUGUAACUGUUGGGUUGGAGACGAUUGUUGGGCAAGAGACUUAUUGAUUAACUAGACUCUGACACCAGUGUUGGGUGAUAUUGGGUCUCUCUAACCUCAAAAGUUAGCUCAAGGGGUGAGACUUUUCCUCACAUUUAUAAACUGAAUACCAGCCCCAUCCAUAACCGAUGUGGGACAACCUCAACAGUUUCUACCAAUCUAACAUCUGAGAGGAGAUGGUGGAGCGUUGGAGACAGAUGGUUCCUUGUCACUGUUAGACGCCAAUCUCAUUUUCUAAUUUCUAAAGCAUGUCUAAGUUUGUGGAAGAUGGAUAUGAUAAUAAAGACUUUUGAAGAGAGUAGGAUUUGAUCCUUUUGGAUGAUGAAGAGUGUGAAAGAGAGUAGGUGAUGCUAGAUGCGUAGAACUUGUUAAUGAACAAUUAGGAACCAGAAGAGAAAAGGGUGCAAUCAAGAGAAGAAUUGAGAGCAAGAGGAAAAUCAAUUUUUAUUCAUAUAUUCUGAUUGUGAAAUACUAUAGAAUUUAUUGUCUACUUUGACUGGGAAGAGUCUAGGGUGCCUUAACAGAUUAGAAGCCCUUGUCAGCUUUUCUUAGUUUGUAGAGAAUUCCUAGAGAGUUCGAAAUUCGUACAAAUCGAAGAGAUUGAACUUUGUAAGAUUUUUAAAAAGAAAAUGGUAUAUGUGGAAGAAUUGGCAAAACAUUUGAAGAAGUGGACAUUAUUUAGUAAACGGCAAGUAGUGAACACAUUUCACUCUCUCUAAUAGUGACCUCUCCACAUAAUUUUAUUUUAUCUAUCCAUAAUUGACUGUGAUUAGUGAGUUUCAGUUUGCCUGUGCCGUCUGUUAAGGAUUUUUCCCCCAUAGGAUAGAAAGGAUAGUGGCAGUGGUGUCUGUUAGUUUGGGUCAUUGAUAAUUUUUUCAGUUCCUACGGGGGGUAGGCAUGUUUGAUUUCACUUUUAAACUAUUGGAUAUUAUGGCAAGUUUGGUUAAAGCUUAAAAAAACUUUUUGUUUCCAUUAACUUGUUAGUUAUUGUUCACGAAAUUAUUUCUUUCUAUUCAAAACUACUGCAAGUGUACGGUUCGUUAACAAGUAAUAAAGUGGAUUAAAUUAGUCCAAAUAUCGUCCCACAGAGAUUGAUUAGUUCAAUUUUACUUAUCGUCGCCUUAAUCGAAACUAAAUUGUUAAAGUGAAUGUAAACCAAAUGAAAACCCUAAUUUUGGAAAGAAAAUCCUAAUUAUGCAAUUUUAUGAUUGAAUUAAAUUAAGCAUGCAAAACAAUAUUUUUAAUACUCUAGAAUGAAAUCAAAUGUUUAGAACGCACGUUUGUUGUAAUCAAUAGAAAUUAAAUACACUAGGAUCACGAUUUCCCAUGCAAUUGUCACUUUAAAACCCUAGUUUCACAAUGUAACAACACACUUCAAUUGUGGCGAAUCAAUGUUCCUAAGUCUAUCCAAUACUCUCUCUUGAGAUGUAUCAAACCUAUUUUUACAUACCACCGACCUAUAUUUCUAUGACAAGUGCAUAUAUAAAAAUGUAUGCGAUUUUAUGACCACUUAAAGAUUCACGUAUGGCAUAGCGGUAUAUUUCUAUCCCCUAUCGGACCCUACGAUGAAUUAUAUUAUGUCGAACUUAUUCCAAUUCUCUCGAAUGCAAGAAUAAAUCACCCAAACUCACACAAUUAUGGGCUCUUAAUUGCGGAAAUAGUAAUUGUAUAUAAAUCAUUCAAAACAAUAGAAAUAUGUCUUAAUGUUAAAUUGCAAAACUAGAAAAUUAAAGAUCAAAUUACAUGGUACAUCGAUCUUCUAGCACAUGAAAAUCUAGCCUAACAUGGUUAAUUUAAAAGAAUACAUCAGAUUUUGGAUAAAAAGCAUAAUCGGGUUACGAAAUCUUGAAAAAUCUUGAAACUCUUCAUGUAAAUCUUCGUUCUUGCGCUCAAAAUCCUCUCCAAGAAGUGUUUUUCUGCCUCCAAUGCGUUCUCCCUCUUUUUGGAGGUCUUUUGCUAUUUAUGUCGCGUGGAAAUUAGGUUACCAAAGAGUUUUAGUCGUAUAAAGAAAAUGUAGAAUCGGCCCCGAAUUUUGUUCUAUGCGACCACAUAGUACAUUUCUAUGCUGUCGGAUAGAGUAAAAAAAUUUUGAGAAAAAAUUCUCGGGAGACCUCUAUGCGACCGCAUAGAAGUUUAUACUAUGCGACCCUAUAGUUAUAUCAUUCUUUUCGUCGGACAGUUUUUAGUAUUUUGGUCAUAACUUUCUCUUCUGAUCUCCGAUUGAAGUGAUUCAAAGUGAAUUGGGAAGAAAACUCAAAGACCUACAUUUUGAUUGAAAUAGGCUUCCUCAAAUUCUGAUGUUUACUAUGCCAAAAAUGGAUCUCAAGUAGAGACUAAAAAUCACGAGCAUAGCUUUUUCGCCUGAAAGUUGACACUUGAUAAUACUUCGACCAUAUUUCAUCUCUUGACUCCUUUCCUCAUCUAAUUUACCUCUAACACUCUUGAAUCAUCAUUCCAUUUCCCAUCUCAUAUAUGAAUUAUUUGCAACUUGGUCCCCGAACUUUCAGUUUGAUUCAUUUUGGUUCUUUUUGCUUGUUUCUUUUAUUUCCAUCAUCUCAUAAUAUCACCAAGUUGGUACUUAGCUCAUUCAAUUCCUUGAUUUGUCCUUCGGACCAUCUUUUGGAUAAUUACAUUCUGGUCCUAAACUUUUACUUUGCGUCAUUUUAGUCCUUUUUCGCGCAUUUUCUCCUGAAUUUCACCAUGUUCAUCGGUGUUCCCUACAAUUUACAAAUGUAAUGAAGUUAAGUCAUAAUUCAAUCAUUUUGCUCAUAAUUAAGUCAUGUUUGUGACCUAAAUAAGUGUGCAAAAACACACUUAUCAGUUAUAAGUAAACUUUUUAAACUUACAAAAACAUACUCUACACGUCCUUGGGUUUGGCACCUGAUAAUGUUUCAAUUUUCUUCUAUGCAGAAUGCAUUUCCUUUAUCUAAGUGGAUUUGUGUUUCAGAUCAUUGUAUAGGCUCUCCACUGGCUUAUGUUCUUGGAUAUAUUGUGUGUGGACAUUUGGACUUUACUGCUGUGGGUUAUAAGUGUUGGUUCAUGGUCAUUACACAUACAUGGAAUUAUGGUAUUGAUUAUACCAGGUAUACUUGUAGCAAUUAUGUGAAAAAUAUGCAGUUAAUUGGUGAUUUCCGCUUGUCUGAAGUGAAACGCCAUGUUUUUUGUACUUGAAUAAUACUUGUCGUUGAUAUUACAGACCUUAAGUGUUAUUGGAAUUCGCCUUUCAUCUAAUCUUGGCACCAGAGGCGGCCUGAGGGUGCGUAAGUUCAGCGACCGUACAGGGCCUCAAAAUUGUAGGGGAACAAAAUUUUUUUUGUUACAGUUGUAUAUUUAUUAUAUUAUAUAUUUAAAAUAUAAAAUUAUUAUUAUUAUGUAUAAGAUAUUAAAAUUAAGAAUAAUGUGACUAACUAAUUAUAAUUUUCUUGAAUAUAAUAAUUUUAAAUAGUAUUCCUACCUUCAAUAAUGUGAGGGAAAAGGGAAAAGUCAAAAAGAGAUGAAGCCCGCCAGAGAACUGAGAGAAGAAAGAAAAAUUGAGAAACCGCCUUUUCCAAUCCUCUUUAAAUACUAAAAGACAUGGCUUCAGGCACAAAUUUUCCAUUUUUAAAAUCUCGAUAUCCGUUGCUAUUACUCUUUACCAACAGAAUAUUUGCAGCCGUAAAUUCGUUGCUAAUUUGAGGGUCGCUGAUAGUUACCAACGGAUCCUGCUGUAGGUAAAGAGUAAAUAUUUUAUCAAUGAAUUUUUCAUUGGUAAAGUGUGAAUCUUUUACUAACGAAAUUUUCGUUGGUAAAAAUAUUAACUUUUCAUUGGUAAAUGUUUACCAUUACAAUUGGUAAAAAUCAACGUUGUAAAUAGCCGCAUAGGUGUGAGGUAUGGUUAAAAAUAUUUUUUUUUAUUGUUGUUAUUAUUAUUUAUUUAAUAAUUUUAAUUUUUUUUAACUUUUAGCCAAACGAAUUGAAAGACCAAAAUAUUGUUUAACCAUUUAUUGGACCACAAAUUAAUUUAUAGAGGGCAACUCCGAAGACUUUGUUGGGAACUUUCGAUGUGGGAUAAAUGAAUUACUUUUACCAACGGAUAAUCUCUUUCUAAUUACCAACGGAAUAUCUGUAGGUGAAAGCUCCAAAUGUUAAACGAUUACAUGAGGCACGGAUUAUCCGUUGGUAAAGAGAUAUUAUCGUUACCAAUGAAAAAUUCAUUGCUAAUUAUCGUGGUUGAAAGUGAAUUAUUUUUACCAACGGAUAAUCCGUUUCUAAUUACCAACAGAUGCAAUCCGUUGGUAAUAUUCUGUACGUCACCUACGGAAUAUCCAUAGGUGAAAGAUCGAAAUGUAAUCCAGUUACAUGAGGCACGGAAUAUCCAUUGGUAAAGAGAUAUCAUCGUUAUCAAAAGAAAAUUCGUUACUGAUUAUCGUAGCUGAAAGUGAAUAACUUUUGCCAACGGAUAAUUUGUUUUCUAAUUAUCAACGGAUGCAAUCCGUUGGUAAUUUUUCGUAGGUGAAAAACUGUUUUUUAGUCGUGUUUUGGAGAAAAGAAUUAAAGAAACCAAUGCAUCCGUUGGUAAUUUUUCAUAGGUGAAAAACUGUUUUUCAGUAGUGUUUUGGAGAAAAGAAUUAAAGAAACCAACCAUCUUCUCCAAUUGCCUCAAAGAUAAUUGAAGCAAAGAAGAGAGAAACCAAUUAUUUCUUUUAUAUAGUAGAUAAAAGUAUUGCUGUAUAUGCUACACAAUCACCUGGACAUUCUUUUAGAAUCAAUUAUUUCUUUUAUAUAGUAGAUCAAAUAAUUAGAUCACUUGAACGAAGGUUUGAUCAAUUCAAUUCAUAUGAAAAAAAAAAUUUGGCUUUAUAUUUUCUUCUAACAAGUUAAACUCAUUAAUGAUGCUAAUUUGAAAGCAUAUUGUGAUCAUCUUGAGAUUGUUUUAAGACAUGUAAAUUUUUACAAUCUUGAUAGUGAAGAUUUAUUUCAAGAGUUAAAAGUUUUGCGAAAUCUUUUACCAAAAGAAAUAAAGACGGCUUUUGAUAUAUUGACUUAUUUGAAAAGAUUGGAUUGCUUUUCGAAUAUAUAUAUUGCUUAUAGAAUAUUAUUGACAAUUCAUGUUAUUGUUACAUCUGCUGAAAGAAGUUUUUCAAAAUUGAAGUUAUUAAAAUUUUAUUUGUGAGCAGUAAUGUUACAAGAAACAAUUGAAUGGAUUAGCUUUAAUAUCUAUUGAGCAAGACUUUCUAGAAAGUGUUGAUUAUGAAAGUUUAAUUAAUGCGUUUGUUACUAAAAAUUCAUAUGUCAUCAACAAAGAACCAUCCAAACCACUAACUUCUUCGAGCAAUUCCAUAUAUAUAUNNNNNNNNNNNNNNNNNNNNNNNNAUAUAUAUAUAUAUAUAUAUAUAUAUAUAUGGAAUUGCUCGAAGAAGUUAGUGGUUUGGAUGGUUCUUUGUUGAUGACAUAUGAAUUUUGAUGAAGUUCGUGAGAUGCUUUUGUGCUUUAUUUAUGUUUUUUUUGUUUAUGUAUUUAAAAAAUAAAAAUAAAAAACAAAUAUUUAAAUAUCAUAUUUUUGCAAUGAAAUAGUAUUAUUGAUUUUUUUUAAUAUAUGUUUUAGUUACUUGAAGAGGACACCAUUUUAAAAUAUCGUACAGGGCACUCAAAAUUUCAGGGCCGGCUCUGCUUGGCACGAGAGUUAUGAAUUUACUGAUAACUCUACGAAGUUGUAUACAUUCUUUGUUACUUUUAAUAGUUUGUGCCAAAGCAUGUAUAUGUUGUAUAUAUACAUGCAGAUUGCUAUUUUGGAGCUUCGAGCCUCGUGUGUGUGUGUGUGAUAUUCGUAUUCAUUAUUUCCCGUGUUACACUUAUCCGUGUCAUCUAUCAUCUUACCUCCGUCGACCUCCUUGAAUGGAGUUAGGGCUAGCAUUGAUAAUGGAUGCUAUUAUUUCAGCUGUUUGAUAGUUCGACUCUCCCUCCCUUACUGCUUUUGUACACUUGAAAACCUGUAUAGGGAUGACAUUCCGUCUCAACACUGUCCCCUUUUAAAGUAAUGAGGCUGAUAAUAAUUUCAACAAGAAAGGCUUGUGCACUAUAAUGGCUUAUGAAGAAUAUUUACAUUAAAUAAUGUUCUAGCACCACAAUGAAUAUGACAUUAUGUGAUAGAUUUAAUUAAAAAUGAAAUUAUAUGAUUUAUUUAAUUGAACCUUUCAUUUAAUGACUUACUGUCAUUAUUCUAGUAUUGUAACUCCACUAGCACUAAAUAGCAUUAUUCUUUAUUAUUAGAGUUUUUGGCACUUUUCAUGCCCAACUUUCCAAAAUGUUUCUAAUCUACCCUCUAAACUUUUUUAGCGCUAGAAAUUCCAGCACUUCACUUAAUUCCCGAUUGAAAUAAUCCGUGAAAAAGUGCAUUAUCUCACCUACAUACAUCACACUCAUUAUUUCACUCAUGCCACAAUGUCUGAGAUCCAUCCACAGAAAAUUAAGAAAUAAAAGAAAUAGACAUCUUCCUCAAUUAAGCCCCUGUUUGGCAACAAUUCUUUUAGAAUUCUCUUUCUCUUUUCAUACUCAUUUUCGACCACACAUUUUCACAAUAAAAUAUUUUUCAUGUAAACUCAAAUUUUUUUCCCCAGCUACAUGUUUUUAAAAAAUUCACUGUUCAAAGUCAUUCUUUUCCAAAAAAAAUAUUCUGUCAAACGGGGCUAAAUUUCACCCACCAUCUUCCCUGAUUUUUCUGUUCCUACAUCUCGUCCAGGUCUUGCACAGCAAGAAUUGAUUCAGAGUUUGAUUCUUAGCUCUCGUUUGGCCCCCCUUUAAUUUUCAUUACAUUAUAUUUCAUUUUUCUCUAUUCCAUUUUCAACCACAUAAUUUUGCAUAAAAUAAUAUUACACAUAAAUCGAAAAAAAUUUCUUCUUUUUUAACCACCAAUUUUUCAUAAAAACACUAUUUCACCUAUUUUCAUUUUUACGAAAUGGGAGCCGAAAGGGGGCUUAGUGUCUUCCGAGGUUGAAUCUGAAGAUUGCCAUUAUGUCUAUUGCAUCAUUUAUUGGCUGAGUUAUUUAGAAGUGCCAGAUCCCAUUCCCUCAUCUAGACGUCUUGGGAAGGCUUUUUCACAUUCUUCUUCAAGAAGAUCUCUCUCCACUUUCAAGGGAGCAAUUUCUCUGGAGAGAUCCUGACCCCCUUCUGUUCUCUUCACAAGCUGCUUAUGAAGAAUCUGCAGUUCUAAUUUCGACGUCUCUACCUGUCGGGAUAAAGCAACAAGCAUAAAUUUGAGUUUCUCAAUCACAAUAUCUGAAGCCUAUUGGCAGUGUUCCUGAAGAAGGUUCUCUCUCAGAGUACUUGAAGUGUUGGAAAAAAUUGAGUGAGCGGCUCACUUUUGGCACAAUUUUCGAUGGGACCCGUUGGUCCAAUGUGGAAUAUCAAAGUUGAUAUGUGUUCUCCUCCACGAGAACAUCGAUUUCAUGUAUUUAUUUACCAAAAAUGACGCUCGGGUGAAUGAGAAAUUGAAGCUCAAAGUUGGUCAUUGGAAGUUGGUUUUGUGGGAAAAAAUGCAUUUAUCCCACAUAGGAAAACCAAGGAAGUUCAAACCACUUUAUAUAUGGUUAUGCUUUGAAGACGUGUAAUCGUGUGUAGCAUAGAGGCUCUCUCCACGUGCGCGCGCAGGGAGUGCAAAUCACAAAUCGAAAUGGCCUUCGGACCCUGAACUUGGAUGCGGACGCCACCUGCGCACACGAAUGUCAGACCGAACAAGGCAAAAAUAGCUCCAUUGGAGAGCCCACAUUUUGCCAAUUUUUUUAGGCUUCUAACACACUCGAAAAUCUCACCUUCAUUCCUGUAUAUACAGUUUCUUCUUUUCUGCAUUCCUAUCCAGUAAGGUCUUGUUCUUGUGGUGAUAUUGUUCGGAUACUAGUUCAGUUCGCCGGAGUAGGACCGCGGUGCUUGGAUUUUGCUUAUUAUCGUUGUAUCCUGGGAGACAGCCGCUCGAACUGAACCUCCAGCACCUACAGUGAGGGGGCGAAAUUGUCUUAAGGAAACUGUGCACACACAGGCCUCGGUUUGAAAUCUGCUGCAAUUUGUGUUUUCUUUCUGCAGAUUUAUUUCGUUGCAGUUCGUGUAGUUCUUUGCAGAUUCAGUUUAUCCUUGCAGCAUUAGUUUCCAUUUAUUUUUGCAGAUUAUUUUUGCAUUACUAUUUAAUUUAUGCAGUUUGUAGUUUCAUAGUGUGCAGCUUCCAGAUUCAUCAUUUACAGUUUUAGCCUGCAGUUAAUUUAUAUUUCUGAUUUUAUGUUAAACAUUUUUUUUUCCAGCCAUUGGAAAAUUCUGAAACGGAAUUUUUUUUUGAUAAAUUGAAAUCGUUUGCCUUGUGGUUAUUAAUUUCAAUAGUCGGCUAGUAGAUUUGAAUAAAACUUAUACCAUUUGUUUCAUCCACUGGCGACUUGUUUUUGUACAUGAAGUACCAUCACUGCUGGGUUCAGAGGUAGAACUCCCGAGGCACUCCCAUUGUGUCGUUUGAUGCUCGUCAUACGUUGCAGUUGAGCCAAAACCCCUACAAGUUCAGUAUAACAGAAUUAACACAAAACAAUCCCUUGGCAGCAAAGCGAAGAAUAAAAGUUCAUAGGCUUAGAUCAUUUUAUACCGUCCCCAUGACAAAGUAUUAUAUUUUCUCAUGGCUUUCGAGUGAGCUUCACAGUUUCAUAUACCCGAUUCUCCCAUAAACAAACACUAUCUCGAACUAUUGCCUUGUCUGAUUUUACAUUAGGCUUUCCAACAUCAGCAGGAACCACAGAUAUCAUCAACGCAUCCCCUCCUACCUGUGACAACUGCAUUGACAAAUAACUUAUUUCACACUGUCAUCAAAAUUUGAAAAUUUCAAUGCCUUAAAUGCUGUUAUAUAAAUGAAAACCAAUCACUCUAAUAAUUCAUUUUCUUUUGGGUUCUACAUUAUUACUUAAGAUUGUUAAAAUUUGAAACACAAUGAUAAAGAAGCCUAAUUGUGAAAUCAAGAUAUAAUUACCACCCCUUUAACUUGGAGAUGGGGGAUGGUGGUGGCUUGGAUACAAGACGGUGGGUUUUGGUGGAUGCCGGAAAUAGUUUUACUUCUCCUUGGUUGGAUGCGGGCGGCGACAGCGGCGUGGUUGGGGCUGGGACUCGCUGGUGGUGCUGGCUGGUGGUGGAACGAGGUGGGGACGUGGAGUUUAAUUGAGGAAGAUGACCGUUUCUUUUCUUUCUUAAUUUUUUGCGGAUGAUUCUCAGAUGUUUUGUCGUAGGAUUGAAUAACGCGUGGAGUUUACGUGGUAGAGAUGAGGGCAGUUUCUCACGAAUUUUGUCAGUGAGGAUGUGAAUUUCAAUUAAGUGAAAAGUUGGGGAUGUCUGGUGCUAAAAAAGGUUGAGGGUAAAUUAGUAACAUUUAGAAAAGGUUAGGGACGUAAAGUGCCAAAAACCAUAUUAUUAUUACUAUUUUCUUUUCUUUUUUGAUGGGAACUUGAUUUUUUUCUUAGCGACAAUGUCAUUAUAGUGUUGAGUAUUAAGUACAAAAUAUGCGUCAAAUAUUUUAUGAUUAGUGAAUUUAGUACAAAAGUGAAAUGGAUUCUCUUUUCCAUUCUUCGCUACAAUAAUUAAAAGUCUAUUCCAAAUUUGAAAAGGAACGAUUCUUUUUCUCUCUCUACUAUUUGUUUCUAUAUUUUUUAUUUCUUAUGAAUUGAAUUUCUUUUAUUUUUGUCAAAGGUAUUACUAAUUUGACUUUAUAUAGGUGGGCUCGAAAUAUACGCUGGGACGGCAAAGCCAUGCAUGUUGCUAUAUAAAAACUAGAAAGCCUAAGCCAAUAAUGUACAAACGAAGUGAGAGCCCUAAGGGUCAAGUUGGUAUUCAUAAAGAGCUUGAAGGACAAUAACUUAGGGCGGUUAUACUCACACCAUAUUUUAAUUACACUAAAAGGUCAUUAACCUUUAUUCAUUAUCACAUUUAUAUCUUUAACUUUCUUCAUAACAUUCUUAUUUUUAACAUUUUAUUGUUCAAAAAAUCCUGUCUCUAAUCAUGAUUUUUGUCUAAAAAUAUUGUUAAUGUGCUUUAAAAUGAGAUUCAAAUACUUAAUCGAAUUUUUGCAUUAUUAUUAUUUUUACUUAUUUAAAAAUACAAUGGGCAUAUUAGUCUUUUUCACUCCAUCUUAAAGAAAAAUUUGGAGAGAAAUCAUAAUUAGAGACAAUUUAUAUUAAUUUGAGAAUAAUAACGCAAUAUAUAAAAAAAUUGAGAUACAAAUGUGAUGAUGUGAAAUGUUAUUAGCAUCUCAUUUAAUUAAAAUGUAGCAUAAUUAUUAAAAAAUGUGGCGUAAAUAUAUUUAGCCUAAUAUUUAUGGGCUAGAAAUCAACUAGAAUUUAUUAAAGGGAAAAUUUUAUAAGUAAGAGAUUAAUUAUGGCACAUUUCAAAAACAAGAAAACAAGUUUCAAAUUUCAAAAAUCAGAAUUUUAUUAAAAAUUAUUUAUAAUUUAAUUAAUUAUUUAUUUAUUUUAGUAAUUAAAUAUAUUAAGUCACAGAUUUAUAUAAUUUGCUCGCAAAUUAACGAUUUAAUUCGUCACUUAUUUUUUUGGUCACAAAUCAGAAAUUUUUUGCCAUAAAUAUUCUACGGUCACAAUUCCAAAAUUUUAUAGGUCACAGUUUGUUCAUCGGUCACAAAUCAAAAAAUUUAUAAGUCACGAUUUAUUUAUUAGUCACAAAUCACAAAUGUUACAAGUCACAACUUAUUAUACAGUCACAAAUUAACAGUUUUUUAGGCCACACAUUAUUUUUCGAUCACAAUUUAUCUUUUUCAUUGAUCACAGAUUAACUAAUUUAAUGGUUGCAGUUAACCAAAUAAUUUGUGUCCACCAUCAAUAUUUACGAUUCAAAGUCACAAAUUUUAACUCACGUAUCCAAUUGUGAGUCACAGUCACAAUUUUCAGGUCACGUAUCCAAUUGUGAGUCACAAAUCGCUGCCAAAACUACCACCACCACCACCUGACAGCAACAUUGUCGCCACGCAAAACUACCACAGCAAGCACAACACCACCGACCAUCCCUCAUUAUUGCAACGCAAACCACCACCACAUUAAGAAAACCCAAUCACCAAAACAAGGAAAGACAAACCACCGUCACCCAUGCCAUACCACACACAAACCAACAUCCCGACCACCACAGCGUCGCGCGUGCAGCGGCGUCACAAUACUGCAUCUCGAUGGGUGCCGCUUCGAGUAACGCUGUCAAAGGCCACCACUGUCUCACCACCAUCACGAUUAGCAGCGCCACCGUCGCCGCUCUUCUGCGAUUGCUUCGUCGCGUCGCUUGUUACCUUCAAAAUGUGCUUUAAAUCUUCAGUUUUACCAACAUAAACCCUCGGCAAGUAUUGGAGAAGAUUCUCGUAGAAAUUAGUAAGUCUCGCGAUUACGAAUUCAGAAGCAAAAUCCAGAUCGGUGAAAUAUCUUUUGGAGUCCGAACGAACUACGUCGAUGAACUCAUAGUUUCCGACAAUCACUCCACCAGAUUUCUCCCAUUUCGUUUUGCAAAUUGCCGCAUUGUAACCUUUAUCCCUCGAAAAGGCCUCCACCACGAUGAACAUAAAUGAAAAUAGAAGCCUCGUUGCCCAAACUAGUAGCAAUCGUCAAAGUCGAAGUGAGCUGCCACACAGAGAGAGAGAGAGAGAGAGAGAGAGAGAGAGAGAGAGAGAGAGAGAGAAAAGACGAGUGGGAGGAGAGAGAAGGAGAUGGAGAGAGAGGAAAUAGAUUAGGGUUGGAAUGGAAUUUGUAUAAUUAGUAUUAAUAUUCCAAUAUGAAAAAUCUGGUUUUUUAAUGAAUUUUUAAAUAUGUUAAUUAAUUAAAAAAAUUUCUGAUUUGUGAAAUACUAAACAUGGCAUCUUAUUUAUGAAAUAAGAAUUUUUAAUCUAUUAGCUUUAUUAAAAUCGUUCCAAAUAAUGAAAUCUUUAAAAGUCUAUAAGUUAUCUGAGAUAUUGAGAUCUAUUAAAAUAUGAGUUGAGAAGAACUAGAUAAUAAAGAAUUCUAAAAUUUAUUAAAACCUAACUUGAUGACACCCCCAUAAGAAAUUUCAUUUUCAUAGCACUAAAGACAGCUUUCUUUUUCUGUUUUGGAUAUUUGUUUUUUUCCCCAUUUUCAUCAAGAUAGAAACUAACCUAACCCCUUGAAUUCUAACAAGAAAAAAUUCAUAAUAAAUUUAACUCCAAAGAUUAUUUUACGACGUUUAUGUUAAGGGAAUAUAAUCCCACAUCGAUAAAAUACCGAAAUAAUGACCAAUAUAUAAAGGGUUGGGACACUCCUCUUAAUAAGGUUGACCUUAUUAAGAUGGACCCCAAAUCUUAACAUGGUAUUAGAGCCCAUUAAACUCCAACGAGCGAUUCAAUCCGAUUAAGUCUCUAAAAAUGAGCACACGGAUUUCAAGAUUGGUCUGCUCAAAUGAGCCACCAUCUUGCGGGGGCAUGUUAAGGGAAUAUAAUCCCACAUCGGUAAAAUAUCAAAAUAAUAACCAAUAUAUAAAGGGUUGUGAUACUCCUCUUAAUAAGAUUGACCUUAUUAAGAUGGACCCCAAGUCUUAACAGUUUAGACAUUCUUAUAUAUAUUUAAUUACGUUAGCAACUGAUACAAAGAAAAAUGGUGAAAUUCGUAUGGAAAAUAUCACCAAAAUUGGAAAGGUCCUAAAAUCACUAUUUUGACAUGAAAACUCACAAAAUAAGACACUUAGAUUGUGGAUAAUAAUCAAUCUCCAUUGUGAUCGGGAUUGAGAGACCAUUGGACUACAAGAAAAUGUAGAAUUUGAUGCUUGGAAAAGCAAGGUAAUUCAACCAUUAAAAAAAUCUUGAAAUUUAUCAUUUCAAGUACCUUAACCCAAAAUUUAUAAUUGUGCAUGCGGGAAAUUAUUACAGCAACUAUAUUGAAAAUUAUUUUAUUCUAAUAUUCUGAAAAAUAUGGAAAUAUUUUACACCUCAAAUACAACAAAAAUACGCUAUGGAUUUUGCUACUUUUACAUAAAAAUAAAUAAUAUAUAUAUAAAAUGAAUUGCAUAAUAUGGUGUGGAGAGAAAAGAAUGGUUGAAAAAGUUGAUCAUUGUGUUUUAAACCGGUAAUGAUAGAGUCUCACGUGACAUUAUGUAAAUUUUUAUGUAUAUGUAGCAAGAUCUGUUAUGGAUUUUGGUUUUCUUUUACAAACUCGCACAUAUUAUACAAUAUAGCAAAAUCAUAUAUACAGAAAAAAUCUCUAUUGCAUUUUAUUCCCAUAAUUCAGAGCAAGAAACUUUCAGAUUUAUUUAAUGGAUAUGCAAAACUACUCUCAAGGAAAAAGAAGAAAAGGUGGAGAGGCUUUGCAUUACAGUACUUAGCAAGAGUCGACUCAACAACUAGACGGCAUUUGCCUGUCAGAAUGUCAGCAAAAACAAUUGGACAAGGAUCCAACGUGAUCAUAAACGUACCAAAUGGAUUCGUAGUUGCAUUAGCCACGAUGGUUCCGAUGGAGCAUUGCAACUGCACCGAAGCAUCUGUAGAAAAUGGAUAUUUAAGAUAAGAAAAAUGAUGCUUGUACACUAUGGUGUACAGCCCCCUCACAUGUUGAGAGGACCCACUUGAUUAAAAUAAUUGUGAGCCCCCUCAUUGUGAGCGGGCUGUAAAGGAAACUGUACACCAAACAUCUUUCUUAAGAUAAUUGAUGAUAUCAAAAGUUUAGCAAAAUUUAAGACUAUAAUAAAUGUUGGUCAAACAUACUUUUUUAUCUUCAAAUUUUGUUGGACCCCAACUUAUUUUCCGUUUAGACACUUGCAUUAAGUUAUAUCGUCACCCAUAUAUGAAAAUUAUAUAUAGAUCUACUACAGGAACAUGGUCAAUGACAGGGUUUUAUACAAAUGUAUACUUGCAUUAAGUUAUACCAUCACCCAUUUAGGCAUUAAAGAAAAAAAUGAGCUGACCUGAACAAUGAACAUGAAAAUGCGACACAUUUGCAUAACCAUGAACCAUGUUGUAUAUAUCAGCAGUUUUGCAAAAGAAUGCUGUCAUGGUGCUUGAAGUGAAACAGAAACAAAACCUCCAGUGACCUAAUGUAACAUAUUCAAGUUCAUUGACUAAAACAAAUCUUGUCCGAAAGUUGAGCAGUCGACGUAUGGUCGUGUAUAACUUACUAAGAGAAAAUCGUGCCACAGUGCCAUCAUUCUUGCAAUCUAGAGUCCCAUUGACAUUUACUGUGACGGGCAAUUCAAUAACUGGAAGUUGAGCUUCUGCAUUUGAUUCUGCUAUUGUAAAAACACAGAGAAAAAUCAAGAAAUAAGUUUCGGGGGCCAUUUAUUAUUGAAGCCUUUGCUAAUUAGAUGCUGAGAGAUUUGCACAUUAAUGUCUCUUAGUGCACCCUAUUUAUAGGGAAGAAUGAAGUCAUUUACUCCAGAUUUUUUAUUUUUAAUUUAUGGUCUUAAUUUUGUAAUUAUAUGUUGAAAAUAAAUAAGCAGUACAACUCAUUCCCCACAUUGACAAUCUCAUUACUUCUCUCUUUUUUCUCAAUCUCUUCAAAUCUUCUUGAGUCUAUAAACAUUGUAAAUUAUCUACAUCGACUUAAACUACAUUUAUAUUUCAAGUUGGUUGUUAUGCAAAAAGAUAUGCAAAUUCGGCUAUCAAAUUAAAUAAACCCGUAACUUGGGUGAAUUCGAGCGAAUUUUCAUAAUUAAUAUGUUUGAUUCAUCAAAUAUCACAUCACUAGACACUAGGGCAGUAUUGUUGAGAUAUUUCUGUUUCAUUUUUUUUUAAUUUUAUUAUUAUUUUUUUAAUAAUGGGGGAACCCGCAGCCUAGUUACCCUUUGAGUGCACACUGGGUAAACCCUUAGACUGACGCAAUAAUUUACAAAUCACGUCAAUCAGGUAAACCGCACUAGGCAAGUCCUGUGUGACAGGCUCGGCCGAGAAAGUGUUGAUAUGGGAAAUCGAAUUCGUAACCAAUGACCUCCGCGCUCAUCUAUUCCACCAACUCGGCCAUCCCAUGUGGGCUGAUAUUUCUGUCAUUUAUUAUGAGGAAUGUGGUUCACGGUAUCGAUUUAAAAAGCAAAAAAAUUUAAUCAAUACAAUUAAUUAUACUAUUAAUAUACAUUAAACAUAUUAAGUAAACGACAUGAUCAGAUGUUCCAUGCAUGAUGGUUUCCGUAUAUCAGAUAUAUCAAUUACAAAAAUCCUAAUCGAUAUAAAGUUAUCAUUUAGUAGAUUUCCAUAUUAAGUAUCAAUUCAGUAUAUAUUUAUAUAAUGAAAAAAUCUCAAUCGAUAUAAAAUUAUCAUUUAGUAGAUUUCUAGGCGAAGGAUCAAUUUAAUAUAUAUUUAUAUCUACUUUUACAGAUUGAGAUUUUUCUCAGAUAGUGAAACAACACCUAAUACUAGAAAAAUAAAGCAAAAAAUAAUGAAUUUGAAGGAAGCAUAUGAAUUGAUUUGCAGUCAAUGAGAAGGAAAAUAAAAAACAAAGAUAUACUUAAUCAGUUUAAUUAAUUAGAUUGUUAAAAAAAUAAAAAUAAAAAAUCUCACUUUAAAUUAGGGGUGUUGUGUACCCUCGACUCGCUCAAACUUGGCUUGACUUGAUUCUCGUAACAAGACGAGCCAGCUUGUUCUCACAAAUUGGGCUAGUCGAGCAUGAGCUAAUUUACUUCAAAAACCUUGGCUCCCCUCACCCCACCAACUGCCCUUGUUGAGCUGGCUCACGAACCACUUGCUUUUUUAUUUUAUUUUAUAUUUUAAAAAAAUAAAAAAAUCUAUUUCACCUUGAUGAUGAAUUGGGAUGGCGAGCCUGCUCGCUUCCAAGCCACUCCCCCAGUUGACAACCCUACUUUAAAUUUGCAUUCCCCCAACAUGCUUCAUAUCACCAUGCUUUGACAUGUUAAUUUUGUUAGAAAGGUCACACAAUUGGCAACAAAAAUGAUGAGUAUCAAACAAGUGAUAAGGAGACCAGAAAAUUUGGGAGUGAUAAGCUUGUGAAAUUCAAAUUAAAUGUUAAAUGCAAGUUAUUAAUUAGUUAUUUGAUGUUUGGAUAGACAUUAGUCACAAAAUAAUGAAGAGUUGUUAUCCUUAUUUUAUUAUAAAUAGGAAUAAAUGUGUGCUGGGUACUCAUGGCCUAUGGUCAUCAUUUAAUAAUGUUAUAAUCAAUCUUUUAUUUAUUUUUCGCUUCCUUUGUGUAUUUCUUCUUGGUAUUAGAGCCAUUGUAAGUACAUGCACACUACAAGUCAUUUCCUCCACUAUCACUUUACUAUCCGUAAAUGUUGACAACUUCUUUUCAUGCAUCUCUCAUUAAUUCUCAUCCAUCAAAUACAUCCCACCAAAUCCAGACAAAACAAAAGAAGCUCAUACCAAAAUUAACAAAUGAAUUCAAGAAUAUGUUGAUCAUUUCACCAAUGAAAAACCUUGUUCUCACCAAAUACAACACAUCAAAUCCAAACAAUUAAAAAAAAAAAAGAAAUUCACACGAAAGUUAACAAAUCCUUGCUUUGUGAAAGUACGAUCCCCUCAUUCAUGGUUGGAUCAUUUCAACAAUUUGAAGAAACCCUCAAACUUGUUAACGGCUUCAACACAACCCAUACAGUAUGGGAAGCAUCUGAAAUGCUUAUAUACACAUGACAUAUCAUUACAAGAAUGAAGAUAAAAUUCAUUCUUGGCUUCUUCACCAAAUUAAUGUCCAUGGCAGCUCUCAAUUUUUGAAAACAAAUUGUGCCUUCAGCCCCAGCACAGUUUGCGGGAGGAUGUUAGAAAGGUUAAACAAUUGGCAACAGAAAUGAUGAGUAUCAAACAAGUGAUAAGGAGACCAGAAAAUUUUGGAGUGAUAAGCUUGUUAAAUUCAAAUUAAAGGAUAAAUGCAAAUUGUUAAUUAGUUAUUUGAUGUUUUGAUAGACAUUAGUCACAAAAUAGUGGGGAGUUGUUAUUCUUAUUCUGUGUGGGACCCAUUACUACUAUAUUUUUCAUUCUAAGUUUUACAAAAAUGAAAAAUAAACGCCCCUUAAUAUUCAAUUAAAAAAUGGAUGCCAAAUUGAGUCAGUGAUUUGAAACAUUUUGCAUUUGCUUGGUGUAGCUAAAACUCACUUAUAAAAAUUAGUGAAAUACGUGGUUGGGAGGUUGAUAAAAGCUUUGGAUUUCAUGAAAUUGUGGCUAAAAUUAAUUAUUAACUUUGACUUAUAUUUUUAUCAAAUUUUAUAGUUAAACCAAACAGGUUCAAUGAUGAGUUGGAAACAAAUUAAAGUGAAAGUUCCUCGGCCAUUAGUAACUUCACCCUAAUUUCACUCUUUUCGUCAAUUGCUAUUGCUAGUUUGGCUAUUACAGAGCAACAAGUUUGACAACACAUGAAAUAUAUUUCAGGAUGUCCCAUUAAUUUGUCUGUUUCAUGAUUCUAUUUUUGAUGCACGUGUAUAUUAAUUAUCAGAAUUAGACUAUUCAGAUUUGAUUUAUACUUUUUGCAUAAAGAGGCAUUAUAUUCCAUCACAAGGCCACUCUUCAAACAUAUUCAUGAAUAGAUAACUUACACAAUGUGAACAAAUACAUAAAACUUUUUAGCACACUAAAAACUCUUUAGAGUCAUGUGAACGCUAUAUAUUUUCUUACCAAAAAAUAAAAAAGUCACUUUGAGAUAAAAUUAAUACUAAACCAAUAAAAAGUUAUCGGUUAGUUAUAAACAGAAGAAAUUCUUCUAUUUUCUCAAUUUGCUGGCCCAAAUGAUAGUAUGUCCGCAUGACAUAAUUUUCUUAAUUUUUUCACAACCUUCAUAGGAUCAACAUCCCCAACUACUGUUAACGUCCCCAAGGAGUGGUCAAUAGUCACAGAAUCAACCCCUAUAUGAAUAUGAGGAGGUAGAUUAAUGAUACGAUCAUUGGAAACAUAUCUGUGCAAUAAAUGUUGGGUAUGUAGUACUAAGUGGUAACAAAAAUAGAAGUGUGAAAGAAAAUUUAUCACCUGAAAGGCUACAAACUGUUUUCAUGGCUUUCUGCUUCUCUUUUUCAUCACGAAUUCCUAGUUUUAGGACUAACUUCCGGGCCUAGAAUGCAAAGAAAAGUCAUUGAAGAAUGUUGUGACAUACAAAUGCACUAUGGUAGCUAGAGAUCUCGGGAUUUGUGUGGACGUAUCUAAAUAAAAAAGUAGCAAACAAUUAUAGGACGAGGAAUUUAUUUACCUUUGAUCUUGUAUUGCUUCCACUAGGAUCACUUGAUUCUUUCUGGAUAGGUUGGCAGGUUAAUCAAAAAAAGAAAAAAAAAAUUAAGAAAGUAACCUACAAUUAUAGGACGAUGAAUUGAUUUACCUUUGAUCUUGUAUUGCUUCCACUAGGAUCACUUGAUUCUUUUUGGAUAGGUUGUCAGGUUAAUUAAAAACAAAAUAUUAAGAAAGUAACAUACAAUUACAGGACGAUGAAUUGAUUUACCUUUGAUCUUGUAUUGAUUUCACUAGGAUCACUUGAUUCUUUCUGGAUAGGUUGGCAGGUUAAUCAAAAACAAAAUAUUAAGAAAGUAACAUACAAUUACAAGACAAUGAAUUGAUUUACCUUUGAUCUUGUAUUGCUUGCACUGGGAUCAUAUGAUUCUUUCUGGCCAGGUUGGCAGGUUAAUCAAAAACAAAUUAUUAAGAAAGUAACAUACAAUUAUAGGACGAUGAAUUGAUUUACCUUUGAUCUUGUAUUGCCUCCACUAGGAUCAUAUGAUUCUUUCUGUAGGUUGGCAGGUUAAUCAAAAACAAAAUAUUAAAAAAGUAACAGACAAAUAUAGGAUGGAAAAAUUGAUUUACCCUUAACCGAUCAAGUUUGGUUUCCCUUCUAUGGAAGUGACCUGACUCAUCUUGCUGGAUCUGUAGGCAUUGUGAUCAAUAUGAUGUAUCUAAAAAAUAACAUAAAAUAAAUAGGACGAGGGAUUGAUUUACCCCGUGUUUUAACGGAUGCAGUCUUUCUUUUGUUUGAUGGAAAAGAACUUCAAGGACUUCAUUUCCUUGGUCCCGCUGUUCCUCAAGCAUAACAUUUGCUGAUUCUACGACGGAGGGACUGGAAUUAUCUAUCUCAAUGAUUUUAAGGGUCUGUAUUUCUCCAAUAUCAGAUGGGAUCUCUACCAAUUUUGAGCACUUCUGGAGGAUUAGGUGCUCAAGCCUUGGAAAAUGAGUGCUGUCCGCUCUCCACUGCUCCAAAUCUGUCUCCCAAAUUAACAAGAAUUUUAGUUUGAGAAAUUCUCCUUCGGUUGGUAUCCACUCUGGGCCUACAAAGGCAAACUCUCGUAAUUUCAGCACUUCAAGAUUUGGCAGCAUACCAAAAAGCGUCAUAAAUUCCCAAUCGAUUCUUCCAUGUUCUAGAGUAAUCUUUUUGAGCCUUGGGGCAGAAGUGAUGCCUCGUAGGAAAAUUGAAUUUGUUGGCGAUUCAAAGAAAAUUUUUACUGUUUCGAGUUUUAGGAGCUGGAUGUCAUAGGCAUUCCACGUAGCGGCAUUAUAAAAAAUUCCCAAUUUCUUUACAUUUGGAAUUUUUUCAUGCAAGUGUUUCAACAUUCCUAAAUCUUGUACCUUUGAAAGUGUCUCCAGAUUUUCUAGAACGAAAGAUUUAUCACUACCCAUUGAUGGGGAAGAGGAACUAGGAAGCAGGGAAACUCGAGAGAGUUUGAGAUGCCUCAAUUGUGGCAUAUUAAAAAUUUCCUCUGGUAGGUGAAUUGUAAUACCCCAAGGAUCUUCAACAACUAAAGUCUGUAGAUUCUUGAGGAAGGCAAUAGAAGGAGGAAUUUCAUGGCGACAGGUGAUAGCAAUAUACCUCAAAUUAACUAGUUGAAGUAUUUCAUCAGGGAACUCUGUAAGCUCUACUCCAAGCAUAUCCAAUACCCUCAGCAACCGACAACCAAAAUAAUAAUAAGAAAGCAAAUGAGUAUCGUCCCAUCCCGUAUAUAUAAACGAACGGACAAGAGACAUUGAUUGCAAUGUCAUCUCCUCCUCACUGGGACUAUAUGAAGCAUCAUCAUGAAGACUCAUACGUCGCUGUAAAGUUUUCUCUUCUGAAAAAUGGUGUGGAUACCUGCUCUUCACAGAGAGAAAUUCCUCCCUAUGAGCUAUCCUCACGCAGAGCUCUCUCAAAAGACCAUGCAUGAUGCAGGUUUUCACUUUUCCAUUAAUAGACCCUUUUUGACGAACCAAAAUAAGAUUUCUAUCAAUAAGAUCCCCAAGGUACUCCUGUGCAACCUCUUCCAAGUGUUUAGAUUCAUGUGGCUUUAGAAAUCCCUCAGCGACCCAUAACUUAAUGAGUCUAGAGACUGGAAUUUCAUAGUUUACUGGGAAAACUCCCAUAUAGAGGAAACAUGCUUUCAAAUGAGCAGGCAAGUGUUUGUAACUGAAAGAUAAUAUCUCCAAGCACUGGGCAUCUUUCUCUACUACAAUUGAGCUUAAAUUUUCUGCUACAUACUCCCAGAAAUCUUUAGCCUUAUUGACCUUCAAGAGGAGUCCACCAGUUACCACAAUUAGUAAUGGAAGUCCUUGACAAUUUUUCGCUAUCUUUUUUCCGACAUCCACCAAAUCAAGAGGGCAUUUUUCUUUGCCGAACACCUUUUCAAGAAAUAAAUUCCAACUUUCUUUAUCAUUGAGAAAUCGCAUCUGGUGAUGAUCUCUAGAUGAGUUCACGUAAUCAGCCACAUCUUUUACCCUGCUUGUCAACAAGAUUCGACUUCCAUUUUCAUCAUCAGGAAAUAACAUUUUUAUUUCAUUCCAAGCACUGGUACUCCAUAUAUCAUCUACUACAAUUAGGUAUCUCCUACCCUUUAGGUUUUUGUACAAAUGUUCUUUUAGUAGUUCAUCAUCCUCUCCUCGUAUAUGAUCAGUAACAACUAUGUCCUCUAGAAGGCUUAGAAGAAUGUUUCGGAAGCGAUAUUGUGGAGACAAAGUUACCCAAGCACGAAUAUCAAAGCGAUACUUGAUAAAUGAAUCAUUAAAAACAUUCACAGUAAGAGUAGUCUUACCCAUGCCCCCCAUUCCAACAAUGGGAAUGGUUUGGAGUCUAGAUUGUCGUUCAUUACAGAGUCUCUCCCUUAUCUGCUUCAAGUCUUGAUCAAAUACCACCAUAUUAGUCUGGUCACUAGGAGCAGGUCUUGAUGGCAAAAAAUUCCUUGGCUGAAGAUUUUGUUCGCCCCUCACAUCCUUAAUCUUCAUCACCUCUUCUAUAAUGGUAUCAAUUUCUGUCAUUACUUU
rnacentral:lncRNA from 1 species